rnacentral:lncRNA from 1 species
GUCCCUGCAAACAAUUCUGAUUUUCCUGCCAGAGAAAAAAAACUGAGAAACAAUGGCGGCUGAACAAGAAGCUGUGAGCAAUAAGCGAGUGAUUCUGAGCAACUAUGUGACAGGUUUUCCAAAAGAAUCAGACAUGAAGAUAACAAGUGGAUCAAUAAAGCUGAAGGUAGCAGAGGGUUCAAAAGACACAGUGCUUUUGAAGAAUCUUUAUCUUUCUUGUGAUCCUUACAUGCGAUGGCGUAUGAGCAAGCUUGAUAGACCUUCUUUUGUUGAUUCAUUCCAUCCUGGUGAGGUUAGUUCAUCACGACCCAUCUCUUGAUUUUUCCAUUUGGUUUAAGUUUUGGUGAGUUUCUGAGUUCAUUUUUACGGUUUUGGAAUGUGAACACAAUUUUGGUGCUGUAACUGUCAUUAAUGAUAUGUAGUAAUUCAAUCAGAAUUUGGAUUUAUUGCUGAUAUAAGCUCUGCUCAUUUUUUAAAAUCUGGUGUCCACAUGCAUGUUUAUAAUCUUUUUGGUUGAGAUUGUAUGUAGAUUCAUACAGUAUUCUUGUCUAACAAUUACUAACCACAACCUUAUAAGACGAUCGAAACUAAGCUCAGAUCAAUAAUCCAAUCAAGAGAGGAUCCUAACUCAAGCUUGUCAUGUAUGGGAAUAUUUCGGUUAAAUUGUAAUCAUGAUCAUGAAUCAUGCAGGAAAAAGGGAAGUUGAGGUCAAUUUAUGCACUUGAUGGAAUUAAAGAACCAAUAUUUGGUUUACAUUAUUUCUUAGUAAUGGUGACUGUGCCUUCUAGCAGAAUUUUACAUGCUUUAUGUUCUAACUAAGCAUCAAUAUUUGAUCGUGAUCAUUAGCGAGGUCAAUAAUUUUUUUUGACUAUUUUUUCAACAUAAGGUCGAUUUGUUGAAGAACAAGUUUGGAUUUGAUGAUGCUUUUAACUACAAGGAAGAGCCAGACUUGGAUGCAGCACUCAAAAGGUCAGCUGCAACAAACGUUUCAACUCUAAUAUUUCAUUUUAAUAUUACAGAGCUUUGGUUGAAGUGUGUGAGUUGAUCCCAAAAACGUAACUUCAUCAGUGUCUCUGUUUUCAAAAAACAGGACAAAUAGAAAUCUGAUUUUGCUUUAAAAAUUUCCUAGAUGCUUCCCUCAAGGAAUCGACAUAUAUUUCGAAAACGUUGGGGGAAAGAUGCUGGACGCAGUGCUACUCAACAUGAGGCUCCGGGGCCGCAUUGCGGUAUGCGGUAUGAUCUCGCAGUACAACCUGGAAAAACCUGAAGGCGUACACAACUUAGAGCAACUAAUCGGGAAACGGAUUCGCCUGGAAGGAUUUCUAGCUGGUGAUUACUAUCACCUCUAUCCAAAAUUCUUGGAACUGGUCAUUCCUGCAAUCAGAGAAGGAAAGAUGGUGUAUGUGGAAGACAUAGCCGAAGGACUCGAGAAUGCUCCCGCAGCCCUUGUCGGGCUCUUCACUGGCCGGAACGUCGGCAAGCAGCUAGUUGCAGUUGCUUAAUACAAAAGCCAAUAUGGAUGAGCUGAGAAUAUGUGACUGAAUCCAUUGUCCGGUUAAAAAUGUUUGCAUGUGUUAAUAUGAACUAUCCUCGUUUAGUAAUGGGAUUGGAUUGUCCUGUCAUUACUUAAUUUUGUUGAGCUAGGGCAUCUGUGUGUAAAGUGUCAAAUAAUUUGGAUUCAGACAAGAACUUAGUGGAUGCAUUGAAGGAUUUUUUUUUUCUUUUUUUUUCUUUUCCAAGAUAUUGAGAUAAUGAUUGGAACAUUUGAGGGAUAAGAUCAAAGUAUCUUUUAGGAUACCUCAUUGGUAAGUAUUAAAAUAUCAAUUGCGUCUUUAUAAGGACAGGUGGUCCAGGAUCAAGAUUAAUGAAGAACAAAUUACAGCCAUUAGAUUAAAGUGAAAUUAAAGCUGUGAAUAGUACACACUUGUUGUGUGAAAAACUUAAAGGAGACAUUCCUCUGUACAAAAUUAACUUAAUAAUAUGUCCUUAUUCAUUCAUUUGAUUCUUCCUUCUCAAUCGUCAUUAAUAAAUUAAUAAUACAAAUAAGUCCCCGUUAAAGGUUAAGUCCCCGAUUGGCUUUACCGUCACGCUCAUGCAUGAUCAAAUUUCAGUUAAUGCUGACGUGAUCGAUGAUGAUUUCAUUGGGAGCUUCCUUUGUCGUGGCACUCUCAUGUUCACAUUUAUUUUUAGGGUUAAUAAUAAUAAUAGCUUCUAGAAACGCUUUGUUUUAAUGAGAUUUUAUUUUUCAAUUAGUGUAAAAAAAAAAUAACAAAAAUUAAUAAAAACUGAUUAUUUAAUGAUGUUCGGCCCUCGAGACAGUUUAUACUCGUAAUUUAUUGUUUGAAAAUUAUUUCAACAUAUGAAAAACAAAAUUUCCCAAAUUUACAACGAAUUUUAAAACAAAAUUUCGAAAUUUCAAAGAAAAUUACAAAUUUGACUAGAUUGACUGGAAAAAAUAAAAUAAAUAAAAUCGUCAAAAAUCCUGGGACCGACCAUUUCAAAAGUCUGGCUCUUUUCCAGGCUUUCCUUCCAAAUUUUCACACACAAAAUUUCUCGUAACUGCUACACAUUAAACGCGUUUCACAUUUUCACUCUCUCUCUAUAAAUAAAUACGCACAUAAAAUUUCUCACCAUCCAAAAACAAAAUCUACAUAAAAAAUGGCGGGUGAAGAAGCAGUGAGCAACAAGCAGGUGAUUCUGAGCAACUACGUGACAGGGUUUCCCAAGGAAUCAGACAUGAAGAUAAUAACAGGCUCAAUAAACCUGAAGGUGCCAGAGGGCUCAAAAGACACAGUGCUUUUGAAGAAUCUUUAUCUUUCCUGUGAUCCUUACAUGAGAGGACGUAUGAGUAAGCUUGAUAAGCCUUCGUUUGUUGCCUCCUUCAACCCUGGCGAGGUCAGUUUCUUCAAUUCCCACCUCUUGGUUUCAUAAUCUUUUAUGGUCUUAGAGGUGUUUUAGGGAAACAUUAUGGUUUUGGUUUGUGGGCAUGAAUCCUUGAAGAGAGUAUGAUGUGUCGGACUAUGUAUGCAAUAAUAAGUAUAGGGGAUCUUGUUAAGAGAAGAUUCUCUUAAUGAGAUUAAAACUUUUGUCUUAUCAAAACAUAUGUUUAGUUAUGAUAUCAUGUUAGCAUUGUUUCUGAGGAUUUGAUUGCUUGCUUUGGGAAAGGGAUGUUGAGGUUACAUUAUUCAGUAAUGAUUUUUUUUUUUUUUCAAAUGUUCAAAUUAUGCAGCCUUUGAGCGGAUAUGGAGUGUCCAAAGUGUUGGAUUCCACACAUCCAAAUUAUAAGAAAGAUGACUUGGUCUGGGGCUUAACCAGUUGGGAGGAGUACAGUCUCAUCCAAUCACCACAACAUCUGAUUAAAAUUCUGGAUACAAAUGUGCCUCUGUCAUACUAUACUGGGAUUCUUGGUAAGUUGUUACUAAAUUUAUCGAUGUCCAGUUUGCAUGAGCCGAAAAUCGUGUUUUAUUCAAUGCAAUGAGAUAGGGAUAUAUAAUAUGCCUGCUUGAACGUCUAGCAUUUUGAAUUUUCAACAAUUGGUCCGUCUGUAUGGGCAUGUAACUGAAGGAUUUCAUUUGAGGAAUUUACUAUUGUUGCUGAUUAUUGGGUAUUUUUCUGUUGAUUCUAGGUAUGCCUGGUUUGACUGCAUAUGGUGGUUUAUAUGAGCUUUGCUCUCCUAAGAAAGGAGAGUAUGUCUAUGUAUCUGCAGCAUCUGGAGCUGUUGGUCAGCUAGUUGGGCAAUUUGCAAAGUUGGUUGGUUGCUAUGUUGUUGGAAGUGCAGGAAGCAAAGAAAAGGUGAGUUUGCACUCUUGACCCUUAAGCUCCAAAUAAAAACAUAAUAACUUCCAAAAGAAUUGUGCAUGUCACAGUAUUUGUGUUCUAACUGAUCAUGGAUAUUUGAUCAGUAGUCUAGUAGAAACAGACCUAUUAAUACAUAGUUGAUUCGUCCUCAAGAAAAUUUAGUUGAUAUAUGCUUGAAAUUAUAUUCUGUUUUUUAUGCCAGAUUAUAUUAUUAGAUGACUAUAUUAACCAGAUUCUUUUUCUUUGUGCUGUUUCUCAUUUGAUUACGUUUUCAACAUUAGGUCAAUCUGUUGAAGAACAAGUUUGGGUUUGAUGAUGCUUUUAACUAUAAGGAAGAGCCAGACUUGGAUGCAGCUCUUAAGAGGUUAGCACGAAUGAAUGCUUUAACCACUUUUCUCACUUCAUUAUUACAAUGCGCUGAUUGAUGUUAUCUGCGUUGGUCCUGUAAAUGUAAAACAGGACAAACAGAGAUCACUGAUCUCAUUUGUUACAUUGAUAUUUUCUACCAUUGCCAUACAUAGUAUAAACUUGGAAUGAAGAUAGAUAUUCAAUUCAGAGGGAAAUUUUCACUUGCAGCUAACAGAAUCAUGUUUGUGAUGUAUGUUUAUUUAGGAAAUGAAAAGAUUCGUUGCAUUAUUUUAUUCCAAGUUUGCUGAAAUCAUAUUUGUUUUCCCAGGUGCUUUCCUGAAGGCAUCGACAUCUAUUUCGAAAAUGUUGGGGGUAAGAUGCUUGAUGCAGUCCUACUCAACAUGAGAAUUCAUGGCCGCAUCGCCGUAUGCGGAAUGAUCUCACAGUACAACCUUGAGAAGCCUGAAGGCGUACACAACUUGAUGCAAGUAGUUGGAAAACGAAUUCGCAUGGAAGGGUUUCUUGCCGGUGAUUUCUACCACCAAUAUCCGAAAUUCUUGGAACUGGUUAUGCCGGCAAUCAAAGAAGGAAAGUUAGUAUAUGUCGAGGACAUAGCUGAAGGCCUGGAGAAAGCUCCAUCAGCCCUAGUUGGGAUAUUCACUGGGCAGAAUGUUGGAAAACAACUGGUUGUAGUUGCUCCUGAAUGAUAUGAUUACAAUAUGCUUUAAAAGUGGACUGUGCCAUGCACUUUAAAAGCUUAGUGAAGAUGCCUCUGUCUUAUUUUUGAUACAUGUUAUGUUUGUUUGAUCAAGUUGUACUCAGCUAUAAAUGAAAGAUUCAGAACAUGUGUAUGGUACUGGUUUCUAAAUCAAUGAACGCUUUGAAAUGUUAGUGUUUUCACUGGAGAAUGCAGUUUAAUUCAUCAACAAUGUCCCAACAAGACCCUCAAGAGUGGUAGCUUGCAAAGUUAAUUACUAUAUUUUUUUCUUUCCGAUAUAUUGUUCAUUUCAUAGAAAGUUUACAUUAAUUAAAGUCUCAUGUUUCUUUGAAAGGUAAGCAAGUGUGAAUGUUUCUAUCUAGAGCUGGAAAAUGCAUUUCCGUGCAACUUACUUGAUGAAUGAAGUUUUCAUCUCUGACCUUGAUGUUUCCCAGAGCUGCAUUCAUUUCAGCUGAUCUAUUUCAUUUCGUUUGCAAAGGAGUGACACAAAACCUCCUUUGUUAAGGGGAGAAUUUAGAGUGGCUUCAACGGUUAACAAAUAGCCUAAUGUAAGACUUAAUCAAUUUCCUGCCCGGUUGCUUACCACUACUUAUCACUUUAACGUAUGAAACCUAAUCAAGAUUCCUUUGAUGAUUUUUCUAUUUGCUAAUUGAUUGAUAAGCUCUUCAGUGAAGAUAUAGUGUCCGCAAGCCAUAUGUUGAUAGAGUUAGAGUUUGCAGAAGCUACUGUACCAUAUGUUGUUAGAGGCGGUAAAAACGGAGGCAGAUCAACACACAUUUAAAUUUCAAUGACAAUUUACUGGAAAUAAAUUUCCUAUGACCCUACAUGUGACUAAUUGAUGAGAACUUGACAAUGACAAAAGAAAGUGUAUGAGCUUUGCAGGCUGGCUUGCCAAUAUUGACUGUAUGGCACCAUCCGCAAGUAAGUAUCAUUACUGUUUAAUCAACUUGGUGGAGUCCACUGGGACCACCCCACAUGGUCAGUCUUAUCUCUACUCCUAAAUUUUCAAUAUUCCAUACAUCAAACCAAUUGCAGUUUUGAUAUCAAAUUCAAUUUUAUUGUUGGUGACGAUUCUGAUUCCUUUCAUUCUCACAAAACGGAACCAUGGUUGCUGUUGGAGAGAUCUUACUCAACGCCUUCCUUGAGGUGUUGUUUGACAGGUUGGCUUCUCGUAAUUUGCUCCGCUUUGUGCGUCAACUCCAAGGCGGGGUUGAUUCGGAGCUCAAGAAGUGGGAGAAAAAGCUGAAGAUGAUUCAGGCUGUGCUCUGCGAUGCAGAGGAGAAACAACUGACCGAUGAGGCUGUGAAGAUGUGGCUGGACGAACUCCAAGACUUAGCUUAUGACGCUGAGGACAUUCUUGAUGAGUUUGCUACUCAAGCUUUGGAAAGCAAGUUGAUGGCGCAAAACCAGGAUAGCUCUGGCCAGGUUCUCAGUCUCAUCCCGGCUAGUUUGAAUCCGAAUGCUAUUAUGUUCAAUUAUAGCAUGGGGUCCAAGAUUAAAGAUAUGACUAGCCGGCUGGAGCAACUCUGCCAAGAAAGAAUUGAACUUGGACUGCAACGGCUUACUGGAGGGGCGUCAUCAACCGCUGCUGCUGCACACCGGAGGCCACCCAGUUCGAGUGUCCGAACAGAACGUGAAGUAUUUGGAAGAGAAGAAGAUAAGGCCAAAAUUCUUGAUAUGGUCAAUACCCCAAGUGAUCACGCCAACUUUGUUGUAAUACCUAUUGUUGGAAUGGGCGGGAUAGGAAAAACAACUCUUGCUCGGGAGGUCUACAAUGACAAGGCAGUUGAGGAUUCCAAGUUUGACGUAAAAGCAUGGGUUUGUGUCUCCGACAACUUUGAUGUUUUCAACAUUUCAAAGGCACUUCUCGAGUCAAUCACCUCCGCAGCUAGUGAUCUCAAGACUUUAAAUGAAGUGCAGGUUCAACUGAAAAAAGCAGUGGACGGAAAAAGAUUCUUGCUGGUCUUAGAUGAUGUUUGGAACGAGGACUACAGCUUGUGGGUAGACUUAAAAGCUCCGUUCCUGGGUGCUGCACCAAACAGUAAGAUGAUCGUCACCACACGCAAUUUAAACGUUGCAUCAACAAUGGGACCAAUUGAACAUUAUAAUCUCAAGAGUCUGUUAGAUGAUGAUUGCUGGUCCAUUUUCAUACAGCAUGCAUUUGAAGGUAGAGAUCUUAACGCAUAUCAAAUUUCAGAAUCAUUCAGCAAGAAAGUUGUUGGCAAGUGUGGGGGCUUGCCUCUGGCAGCAAAAACGCUCGGGGGCCUUCUGCGCACAACAAGGCAUGAUGCGUGGGACGAUAUAUUGGAUAGCAAAAUAUGGGAUUUACAUCAACAAAGCAGCAUUCUCCCUGUGUUAAGAUUGAGUUACCAUCAUCUUCCGUCUCAUUUGAAAAGAUGUUUUGCUUUUUGUGCCAUCUUUCCAAAAGAUUAUGAAUUCACUGAGAAGGGGCUAACUUUCUUGUGGAUGGCUGGAGGUAUUAUUCGACAGUCAAGAAACAGUGAGCAGCUGGAAGAUUUGGGCAGCAAGUGCUUUCAUGAUCUAGUGUCAAGGUCUAUUUUUCAACAAACCAGCUCUGGUAGUUCUAAAUUUGUAAUGCACGACCUUAUCCAUGAUUUUGCUGAAUUGGUUUCUGGAGAGACCAUUUUAAGGUUAGAGGAAUCCACCAACUUGUCGUCAAGGAGAUUUGAAAGAGUUCGCCAUUCUUCCUAUGCCCGUGGUUGGCUUGAUGGUAAAAAUAAGUUUGAGGUUUUCUAUGAAAUUGAACAUCUGCGAACAUUCUUGCCAUUCUGCAUAAGAGGUGGCCCUAAUACUAGUUACGUAACUAGUUUACUUCUAUAUGAUUUGUUGCCGAAGUUUAAAAAGUUGAGGAUGCUAUCUUUAGAAGGAUACCAGAUUGGUGAGUUACCAAUUCCAUUUGAAGAUUUGAGACCUUUAAGGUUCCUCAACCUUGCCGACACUGACAUAAGAAGUUUACCCGAGUCAACAUGCAAAUUGCUGAACUUGGAAAUUUUGAUAUUACGAAAUUGUUCCCGUUUGAUAAAGCUUCCGCCCAAAAUGAGGAAUUUGAUCAAUUUACGCCAUCUCGAUAUAAAAGGUGCAAAGCUGCUGAAGGAGAUGCCAUUGGGAAUGAAAGCGUUGAGGAGUCUUCAAACAUUGUCCAAUUUUAUUGUAGGCAAGGGUGAAUCUGCAUCUGGUUUGGAAGAUUUAAAAAGUUUAAACUUUCUUUGUGAUGAACUCUGCAUUGCUGGAUUAGAGAGUGUGAAUAGUCCACAGAAUGCAAGAGAAACCGCAUUAUGCGAGAAGCACAAUCUUGAAGCAUUGACUCUAGAAUGGGGGUCUCAAUCUAACAGUCCUCGGGAUGCAGUACUAGAGGAGAAUGUACUUGACACUCUACAGCCUCAUAAACGUAUAAAAGAGCUGGCAAUCAGGCACUAUGGUGGUGCAAGAUUUCCACUUUGGAUCGGACAUCCUUCGUUCUCCGAGAUGAAGGUCCUUAAAUUGGAGAACUGUGACAAGUGUGUAUCUCUGCCAUCGCUUGGCCUGAUGAAUUCACUUAAGCACCUUGCUGUUAAAGGGCUGAAGAAACUAAAAAGCAUAGAGUCUGCGGUCUUUCCAUCAUUGGAGAUUCUAAGUUUUGAGAAUUUGCCAGAAUGGGAGCAUUGGGACACCAAUAUCAAUGGAAAUGUGCACGUUGAAAUAUUUCCUCAUCUCCAAGAACUUUCCAUUGCAGAAUGUCCCAAACUCUCUGGAGAACUGCCUGAGCUCCUGCCCUCCUUGGAGACACUUGUCGUUAGUAAAUGUGAACAGUUGGCAGUUCCAUUGUCUUGCUAUCCGAUGCUCUGCAGAUUAGAAGUUGAUGAGUGCAAAGAACUCGUGUGCGGGACUCCAAUUAAUUUUAAGUUGGUAAAGUCUUUGACCAUUUCAAAUAGUUCAUUAGACAUGAAUGGAUGCAAUGGGAUGCUAUACCAUGGUCCAGCUGGCUCUUCACUGUCUAAACGCAUGACUAUUACAAAUGUUUUGGAGUUUGGAAAAUUAUUGAAGCCUGGAUUUCAGAUAUUAGAAUAUUUGGUAAUUGGCAAUUCUGAACAGCUCAAGUCAUGGAGGCGGGCCAGGAGACCUAGACGUUUUAAUGAACCAGAACACGGGCUAAAAAUUCUCGCUUCCCCUGAAGAGGUAACAAUUGAAGAAAGUUGCGUAAAUCUUGUUUUGUUUGCAGAGAUCAAUUUCUUUCCCAGAAAUCUGCGCUCUCUUCUAAUUUUCAAUAACAUACCUUUAAAAUCCUUACCCGAGGAAAUGAUGGACAACAAUUCACAACUGGAAAGCUUGUGCAUCAGAAAUUGCGAUUCUCUAACAUUCAUCACAAGACACAAGCUACCUUCAUCUCUAAAAAGUAUAGCAAUUAAGAAUUGUGAGAAAUUGCAACGUCCGUUCGAUGAUGAAGAGGAUGCUUCUUCUUCUUCUUCUCCUUCAUCCUCGUCUUCCCCAGUGAUGCUGCAAUGCCUGACUAUAGAGAACUGCCCAGAGCUCACCAGUUUAUCAUCGGGAAUCCAAUUCCUUGAGGCGCUUGAAGUACUCGAGCUAAGGGAUUGUCGAAAGCUGGAGUCAUUACCGGAUGGCCUGCAAAAUCUUAACUGUUUACAGAGCAUUCAUAUAGAUGGAUGUCCAAGUCUUGUUUCCUUCCCAGAAAGAGGGCUUCCCAACACCAUUUCGAGAGUUUACAUUCGUGGUUGUGAGAAGCUUGAAGCCCUGCCCAACGACAUGCACAAACUCAACUCUCUCGAAACUUUAAACAUACGGAAAUGUCCAAAUCUUGUAUCGUUUCCAGAGGAAGGUUUUCCUACCAGUCUAGUAUCACUUACAAUUGGAUAUGUCAAAAUGUAUAAGACACUCGUCCAGUGGGGGUUGCAUAGGCUUACCUCUCUUACACACCUCGAGAUUAUUGGAUGUGAUGAUGAAGCAGAGUGUUUUCCAGACGAGGAGAUAGGAAUGAUGCUGCCCACCUCUCUCACUCAUCUGCAACUUUCGGAAUUCAAAAAAUUGAUAUCUCUCUCUUCGACGGGUUUUCAGAGCCUCAACUCUCUUCAAUCUUUGUGGAUAUUGGGUUGCCCAAAUCUCACAUCAUUCCCAGAGGUGGGCCUUCCAUCCUCACUUUUGGAAUUACACAUUGUCAAGUGUCCAAAGCUUAAAGAAGUUUGCAAAAGAGACCAAGGAGAAGAGUGGCCCAAAAUUGCUCACAUCCCUUGUUUUGAGAUAGACUGGAAAUUCAUAUACGAUCCAGAAUCAGAGGAGUAGAUUCUCCUAUUAAGGUCAGUUGAUUUUUUAUUAUCCGUUAUAACAAGCUCCUCCUUUUUUAUUUUUUUAAUAAUAAUUUAGCAGUUCUAUAUAAUUAUAAAUCCUCCGCCCUUAAUUGAAAAUGUCACUCAUUUGAUUCCAUUUUCACAAGUCAGAUCGUAUGUUGAGGUUAUUUGCAUUUUAUCGGUGUUUAUUAAGGUAAUUAGUGCGUUAUAGGUUGAUUACUCACAGAUUAAGUUAUAACAUUUAUCUUAAAAUUUAAUGUCAUAGACAGAGAUGAUUUUUUAAUCCAAAGUUUUCUUGAUUCACUUCAAUUAGCAUUUUCUUUUCCCCAGAUCAGGCACGCGGAGAGUUCCAAUCAAGAAUUGGAGCAUGUGAAUGGGAUUUUUGUGAAAACAUAAUGAUGCAGGAACUGGGAUCUCAAAGUCAACAGAAUUUUAUUUACUCAUUGACUUUUCAACUCCUGUGGUUAUUUAUGGGUGAAAGAAAGAUAAGGGCAAUUUCAAGAAAUUUGCAAACUCUGUCAAUUUCUUUUAAUUGUACCAAUUUGUCGUUUAUGCUUUGGUUUUAUUUUUUCAGUUUUGUUUAUUGCUUAGAUGGUAGCAUACUUGAAAUGAUACAUAGCCUUCACCGGCAGAAUUCUAGUCUUGGCUUUCACCUCUCUAACUCAUCUCAUCUGUUCCUAUUGGGAUUCCAGAAAUUGAAAUUUCUGUCAUCAAUGGGUUUCAAAGCCUCACCGCUCUCCGAUUUUUGUGGAUCGGGAAUUGCACAAAUCUCACAUCAUUUCCAGAGGUGGGCCUUCCAUCCUUGCUUUUUGGAAUUACAAAUUGGAAAAUGCUACUUUCCCCGGGUCAAAUCCCAGGUCAAACCCCGAAUUAAACCAAAACGACACCGUUUUGGUUUCUUUUUUUUGUCCUUUUUGCUUCCAUGAAACGUGGUCGUUUCAGCCAAACAAAAGCAAAUGUCUUCGUUUUUUACUUCCUCUCCUCUUCGAUUCUCCUCUUCGUUUUACCAACAGACCAACAGAGCACAAAUUGCAGAAGUCACUUGCACAUCAAUUCAUCACAAAAUGCAGAGUUUUACUAAAGAAAAAAACGAUGCCGUUUUUCUUGCCAAAUAUUUUCCAUUUCCUUCGUUCAUGGAGCUCCUGCCACCGCCAAAGCCAAAUAUUUCCCCUUUCAUUUCCUUCGUCAAUCAAGCUCCAGCCACUUGCUUCGUCGAUCGAGCUCUAGCCACAGCCAUUCGCAAAUCGCAGUCCACAAUCCGCGCCUGAAAUUGUCAUUCACAAUCCACAACUCACAACCAUGACUUCACACAGAGAACGACUCCCACAGCCUUCACGCGACAGCGAGAUCGAGCUCUUUAACAUUCGAAGAACAUAUCUGGUUGCGAAAGUUGAUUUUUAAUUUGCUUGCGAGCUGAGAUGCUUCGAAUUCUCUGUUUUUUUUUUUUUUUUGUAAAUUACUAAGCCAAAAGCUUUGCAUAAGCUUCUGCUUCGGUUUUGAAGAUUGUGAAGCUGGAAAUGUUUUUUCCCUUUUUAUAAAUGGAUAAUUGAAAGUUUGAACUUUACCUUCGUACUUUCUUUUUCAUAAAUUGCUCAUGGUGCAGUCUCAUUUUGCUAGUUGAAGAAACAGUUAAGGGGGUCUGUAGUUGGGAAGAAAGAGGAAACGAAAAUGAAAAGAAAAAGCUUAAGUCUCGGUGCGUUCAAGUAGCAUUUUUUCAAUUAAAAAAUUUAAUUCUCAAAACGGCGUCGUUUUCUAAAGUUUCGGGGUUUGACCCGGGAUUUGACCCGGGGUAAAUAGCAGAACUCUUACAAAUUUACAGUUGUCAGAAGCUUGAAAAAGUGUGUAAAAGAGAUCAAAAUUCUUGUCUUGGCUUUCACGUAGGGAUGGCAAAAAUCCCCACGGGGACGGGUACCCUCGGGGAUUUUCCCCAUUCGGGGAGGGUAUGGGGAUAAUUUCAUACCCAAUUUCUUAUUCGGGGAGGGGACGGGGAAAUUUUGUUACCCAAUUUCUUAUUCGGGGAGGGGACGGGGAUGAGGUGGAAUCCCCAUCCCCUACCCAUUUCCCCAUUUUAAUUUUUAAUUUUAUUUUAAUUUUUUAAAAUUACUAGUAAAUAAAUAAUAAAAUUUAAAUUAUAAAAUUAUAAAUAUUGGUAAAAAUAAAAAAUAUCAAAAUAUUUAUAUUAUUAAACUUUUAGGCUUAAUUAACUAAUUAAAGUCCUAAAUUUUUAUUUAGGACAUUAAAAAGACCGAGUAGAUUCUAUUAGCCCAAAAGUUUUUUAUUUUUAAUAUUCUUUAAAUAUUUUAAACUUAAAUCUAUUUUUUAUUUAUUUUUAGAUGUUAUAAUUGCCCACAUCGAAUCACAAUUUUAAUAUCUAAUCUAAUCUAAUCUAAUCUAAUAUUUACUCUUGAUUUGCUCCGAUUUAACUAUUGUGUUGUAAAGGGAAUAGUCCACAUUUAUAAAGUGCCCACGCCACCAUUAAAAAAGUUAAUUUUGAAUCUAAAUUCGAUUUUAUUUGUAACAAUUUUGUAUUAAACUAUUAAUUUGUUCAUGAUAGUUUGUAAAAGAAGUUUGUAUCCCUUGCAUGCUGUGUUACUUACUAAUUUAAUGUAUGUGACUUUUGUAAUGGAUAUUAAUGUAAGAUAUAUUUCAAAUUUUACUUUUAUUUGAAUUUUUUAUUUUAAUAUGAUUAACUCAAAAUCGAAAAAAAAAUAUUAGUUAUUCGGGGAUCGGGGACCCUCGGGGAUCCCCUGUUAUUAUUCGGGGAGGGGAUGGAGAUUCGCUCAAGUAAUUCUGACGGGAACGGGGAGGGGACGGGGACAUACGCAAAAUAUCGGGGAUGGGUACGGAGAGAUUGGUCCCCUCCCCUCCCCUCCCCAUUGCCAUCCCUACUUUCACGGAUAGUUUUUAUCACGUAACCACGUGAGGAAGCAUGUGCUGGAGCCUGAAUUCAGUUAGUUAAAGUUUGUUAACCACGUGUCAACAAACUGUAUAAUCUGGAAAAUAAGCUAGCUAUUGAAACAGGGUAUAAAGGCUGGUUUUUCAGGGACUAUCGAGAGCUGAUUCUAGAGUCUUGUAGAAAGAGGUUUGUGAGAGAGAAAGUGUCAUCUUGUUCUCUGUAAAAUCCGAUAUAGGGCUCUGUAACGAUCUCCAUUGUUGAAUCAAUAAAACUCAUCUAGAAGCUUCUCUCGUGGACGUAUUCUGAGCAAUCAAUGCACAGCUGAACCACGUAAUAUCUUGGUUUCUGUGGGUUCUUGUUUUGGUUCUUGAUAAAUUCUUGUUGUUGUAUUGAGGUGUGAUUUGAUCUGUCUAAACUUGUAUCUGUGCAACUUGAAUUGAUUUGAUGAUAAGAAUCUUGGGCAGUGAUCAGAUUCGUUUAGUUUAAAGAACAAGCUGAUUACUACCGUACCUAUGCAUGGACCUGCAACCUGUGCUGACAAAACUGAAACUGUGAGUUUGAGGUAAAAAGGUCCUGGACCCUCACAGUUUAACUUUGACUUGUUGCUUUCUGGAUAAACAUAUUUUAGAAAUUUGCAAUUUGUUGUUAAUUAUGGUAUGUGAUUUUCUUCUUUGUUUUCGCUUUUGUAGAAUCUACCGUAUUACAUAUUGGCAGUUGUAUCUGAGGUACCUUUUUUGCAUUUAACUUGCCUUUAUCUGUUUUGCCUGUUACUUAACAACACAAACACAUCAUUUCCCAAACAUUUGGAGAAGCAUCUCAAGAUGCUUAACAAACUUGACAAACUUCAAGAUGCUCCCAAGCCUUGAUUCUUCACAAUGGAAGACCUGUGAGUACACUUAUGCCCGCAAUUAUUGUGAAGUGAUUGCAACUUUGAUGCAGCGAAAUGGUUUGCUGAUGCAAAGCUUUAAAACUGUUAAGAAUUACCCUGCAGGCUUGUUGGAUGUUGUAUACUCCAAAAGCCACCAACACCAAGAACUAUAACAGCAAGACUAGGUUUGCAUUAAUUCAAUUAGCUGAAAUAAUGAUGCAAAUGGCACUAUCCAGCUCGACUUAGAGACUAGUCAGGUCAAUCAUCCAUUUCAUCAACAGUUAAUGUCAGGAUGGUGGCUAGCAGAGGAAACAAAGGAUAUGUUGGAAUCAAUAAGAACAGUGAGAAGCAUGAGAGGAGCUUUGAUUAUAAGUAGGCUCAAUGAACUAGUGUUGGUAAGUGGUAAUUAGAGCAAUUUGUGAGCUUAGUAGAGUUUCAAUAUUUUCUGUUUGGGAUAUAGUUGAUAAGUUGAUACUCUGAUUAAGAAGGCUGAUUAUAGUAGCUGACUAUAUUAACCGGGUUCUCUUUUUUGGUUUGCUGUUGUUUUUUCUUUCAAUAUCUUUUUCAACAUUAGGUUUAGCUGUUGAAGAACAAGCUUGGGUUUGAUUAUCAGGUAAGAACAAAUGAAUGCUUUAACCAUGUUUCUCACUUAUCACAAUGCACGGAUUGAAGGCGUCUGAGUUGAUCCUGAAAAUUUGAUGGAAACACUUCUCUGUUUUCAUAAAACAGGACAACCAGAAAUAUCUGAUCAUGCCUGAGAAUUCGUCGCAUUGAAAUUUUCUACCAUUGCCAAACAUAGAAUAAACCAGGGAUACAUUAGCUUAAGACUCAAUUUUGAGAAGGAAGUUUGUACUUGCAGACUAUAAAAUCAUGUCUACCUUGUAUGUUUCUGUGGGGAAUGAAAGAUUCUGUGUGUUCUUUUACUUCGGGUUUGCUGAAAUCACAUUUGUUUUCUCAGAUGCUUUCCGGAAGGUAACAACGUCAAUUUCAAAAAUGUUGGGGUAAGAUGCAUCAUGCAGUGCUGCUCAACAUGAGAAUUCCUGGCCGCAUUACCCGUAUGUGGAAUGAUCUCACACUACAACCUUGAGAAGGUUGUAAGGAGUACACAACUAGAUGCGAGUAGUUUCAAAAUGAAUUCACAUGGAAUUAUAUGUUGCCGCUUAUUACUAUCACGUCUAUCCGAAAAUUCUUGGAAUUUGUCACCGGCAUUGAAGGAUUGUAUACGUGAAGACAUAGCUGAUGGCCUUGCGAAAGCUCCAUCAGCACUUAUAUCGGAAACAGCUGGUUGUAGUUGCUCCUGAGUGAUAUGAUUAAUAGAUACUGUAAAAAUGAACUGUGCCACUCAUAUCGAAAACCAGCUGUUAUGAUGUGUUGGUAAUGUGUUUGAUGCUUGUUUGAUUUAUGUUGUAUUCGGCUAUAAAUCAAAGAUCAGAACAUGGGUGUGUUACUGGUUUCCAAAUCAAAAAAUGCCUUGUGAUGUUAGUGUUCACUGUUUUCACAGGAGACCAGGUUCCUUGUUAAUGAGUCAAGAAGAAGACAAGUGAAUCCAUGUCUGAGUUCAAAUGUGUCUUUUCUAUUUCUUUUACCGACACAUUUAUUUUGAUUUCUUUGACUAGAUGACUAAAGAGUAAAGAUAGAAGAAAUCAAAACAAAUGAGUCAGGUCCCACCUGGCCCAUUGGCCCAUCUCUCUUCCAGCCCAAAUCACUCUCAUUCGCUAUUUUGCCACCUUCAUUUCACUGCCCUCAUAGCUCCCCGUUCUCACGGUGGCUGCCAUCUUUCUGCUCACGCAUCUUUCAAAUUUCAAACCUAACAGCAUUCUGUUGCUCUGUCGUGGGUACUUCAACUUCUGUCACCUUCGGUAAGCUUAUCUCUGCCCCUCUGUGGCUGUCUCUCUCUUUACAAUGUUGUUUCUUAUUCAAUUUACAGAAUUGAAUUCACUGUUCAGUUUAUGGGUUAGAUUUUUAUUCAAAAUAAUAUUAAACCCACCUCAGAUUUUAUCCCGUAGUAUGUAAAGUUCAUGUAAAGUUUCCACCUUUACGACCGUCCGAUGUUUAAAGUUCUAAUUUUGUUCCGGGGUUUUAUCAGUGUAUUUAGAAAUUAUGUCCAUUGUUUUUAUGAAAAUGGAACUAUUUUCAUUUGUUUAUUUCUCUAUGGAUGAGAAAACCGGUCUUUAAGCUUUAUAAUCUUUAUUUGAUUAUUAGAUUUCUCUUUUGUUAUUCAGAUGAGUUCAGUUUUCCAAUUCUGUGCAAUUGUUUUGUUGCAUUUUUCAAUUUUAUCUUUUUCCAAUGCGACGUUUAUGUUUGUAUUUUCUUAAAAGUGGACAUGAAUUUUGAUUUGUUGUUGCUUUGUUGUGAUUGAGUAGCCAAUUUUAAGUCCAUAUUAAACUUUCUCAAUUAUUAGUUGAAUUAUUUGGAUUUGAAAUUUUAAGUUCUUAAAACCGCCAUUUUAACUUGUUUGUUAAUGGCUCUGUUGAGCUUCAACAUUUGUUUUCAAGAACAAAAUUGAUGGAACUAUAAACCUUCGUUUCUCACAUGCGGGCAACAUGUUAUGUUAGACAGAGUGAAAUCGACAGAAGAAACCAAAACAUUGGAAACAGAGACACAGAGAGAGAUCAGCAGAAAUGGCUUGGUGCAGAGUACGCUCAGCUUCAUCGACACUCUUCAUUAGGCUUCUCUGCCCUUUCAUUCUCAACAAUAACACUACUUAACGCUAUCAGUCCUGUGGUACUCUUGUUUCUAUACUUGUGGAAUCUCUUUUUUAAUCCUCAAAGUUUGAAUUAAAUUAUAUUGCCUCUGUAUUUCUGCAGAAACGGAAUCAGUUGGUGAUGACAUUAAUUCUCAAGUUGGAAGUUGCAUGCCACUUUCUUGUAUGCAUGUUGGGACCAUCAUCAACAACAUUGAGGUAAACUCAGCCAAGAUUUUGAAAAAGAAUCCACUUCAAGGUACUGCUUAGUUUCUGGAAAUGAGAAAUUGAUUGACACUAGACGUCAACCCACCAUUGAUACAGCGUCUAACCCCAGCCAUGAAGCUAAGAUGCUUAGGAAGGCUGGUCAGAGCCAUUGGUUGGGCCAAAGACCUGUGAUUAGAGGAGUACCCAUGAAUCCAGUUGAUCAUCCUCGUGGUCGAGGUGAGGGACAAGGCAAAAGUAGUGGUAAGCAUGGAAGGUGUUCACUUACACCUUGGGGCAAGCCUUGUAAGUGGUGUAAAACUGCAUCUCGUAAGAAGAAAAGGAAAUUUAGCCGUCUGAUAAUAUUGUCCUUCUGUGCUAUUUAGCCUUUUUAAUAUUGUUACAUUGUUUGUUAUAUCUUUGAUGUUAGUUUUGGACCAGCUUUUAACUGAUCCAUAAUGAAACUGAAGUUUAAUUUUCGAUUGAACUUUUACUGGUUUUACUCCUGUCAUUUCAAUUUAGCUUUGAUUUAAGAUGCUGAAUUCUGUGAUUGGAGUAUGUAGAUUGGAAAGAGAGAUAUUAUGGGAUAGAAUAUAGAUUUUGUGUUUUGGUUUCUCAUGUUUAGAGAUAUUCUGUUCUUUUUCAUUUAUUCAAUUUGGUUAGUGGUGAUCUCUUAAAGAGUUAAUGCAUGUGUGUUUAUGUACUUUUCUUUUGGCCUUGAUUCUAUUUCUUGGGGAGUUUAUACAGAUUCCUCUUUUAUGCUUCACAUGCCACAUGCCACAUGAAAGAUGAAAGCCUUUUGUGUGAUUAGAAUUGACUUGCAUCAUAGUAACUUUGAACCACUGUAACAUUUUUAUAAUAGCAGUCUGCGAUCUCCUUGAAGGAUUCAAAGCAUUUUUUUUGUUAGUCUUGGCUUGCAUUAAAAUCCUUUAUACCGAUUGGUUGGUCUCCUUUAAAGCAAUUCCUGUUUUAAGUAAUCAAAAUCUUGAUUCGGAAGUGUGUUUUAGCACUACUAAAGGUUCUUUUAAAUACUAAAUUGAUUGUGAGUCUUCUAUAUCAUCUGAUUGAAAUACAUGAAAGCGAUAUUGGCUACAAAAGUACACUUGGGGUUGUUUAUAAAGUCUUCAACAGGAUUUUUUUUUCCCCUUCCUCAUGGUUUAUUUUUUAGUUGUUGUUUAACAAAACACUUAAAAGGUUCUCUUUAUAGGUUUCUGAAAAUAAUUUUAACAUAACCAUUUUUCAGAAGCACUUUAGAUACCUGUGGCAUUUAGAAAAUUUUGUUCCAGCAUUCACAUAAUAUACAUAGAAAUUUGAAUUUAUUUAAUUAUGAGCAUGUGCUAGUGCCUAUUGGCAUCCACUUGUAUAUACAAAUGUAUUAUACAAUACAAUAUUAGCUUGACUGUAGCAUAGAGGAGAAUAGGGUCGGAAUUGGUCUGAAUUCUGAUCUUUGAAUAAAUAUAAUAGCUGAUUGAAGCUGCUCAUGUGACUCCAUUGUCAGCAGCUUACACAAGGUCUUUUAGCUUUUUAAAAAGUUUUGUGAUAUUUCAUAGUUCACAUGGAUUGCUACAGUAUAGAAUACCCAAUUAGGGCAUUUUUAAUUCCUAUGCAUAGGAGUCUUCCUUCAUGCGCACGCGCGUACACACAUAUAUUUCCCACUUCCGUUCACUCCAAAAGUGAAAAUUGCGGGCAAUUUUUAUCUUCAGUAAAAUUGGAGUAGAUGUUGUUCUUAUUGGCGCAAAUUUGCGUACCAUGUUUGUGGGACCCUUAACCUUGCGCCUUUGUUACAAUCAUAUGCAUUCAGGCUUUUGGUAGACCCUUGGAUAGUAUGAUCAGUGUAUUAGAAUUUAGAAUUCGUGUUUAUAAGGGUCAGUUUGGUAAUGUUAUAAUUUUUAAAAUAAUUACUGUUAGCUAUACUAUAGAAAUAAUCAGUUGUGAAUAAAAUCAGUUAAACAGUUGAUAAAUUUUGUUUUUAAGGUGUUGUGAGUUUUAAACAAUUUGUAUGUAUUUAGUAAAUCUCGCUUUUAAAGUAUUAUAAGAAUGCAAAGACUUAAAUAGAUAGAAAUCUAUAAAAUUUAUUUACAUGUGCAUUUAUACAAUAAUAUUUUAUGCAUGUAUAUAAUAAUUAAUAACAGAAAUAAAUAUUUUUAUUUUAUUAAUUAUAUAUUUUUCUUAUUAUCUCAAUAUAAUUGGUAAUAAUAAUCUUUUUAAUAGUACAUUUAUUAAUCAGUAAUCGAAAUGGGCUGGAAUCGGAAUGGGGAAUGAAAAUCAUAAUAAUUUGUUUACUUUAGCUGUAGGAAUCAAAAUCACAUGGAGCUAUAUUAUCAUUAAUAUAUUUAUUUUGUCUUGGAAUCGAAAUAGAUUGUUACAAAUUACUAAACUGAUUUUAUUAUUAUCAAUAUUAUUAUUAAACAAGGUAAAGGGAAUUUUUAAUUUUCACUAGGUGUAGAAAUGUCGAUUCACUUCUCAUUCUCAUUCUCUGUUCUCAUUCCCCCUCCUCAUAGGAUUACCAUUUCACAUUCUCAAAAAUUUAUAAUUGACUCACAUUUCAUUCUCAUUCCUCCUUAUUUUGGAAGUAAAUAAGUUAAAGAAUCAUAUUCCUUUAUUCUUGUUUUUCAUUCACAUUCCUUCUCCUUAUUUUGGAAGUAAAUAACUUAAAGAAUCAUAUUCCCUUAUUCUUGUUCUCGUUCUCGUUCUCAUUCUCAAUUAGUAAGCACACUACAAAUGCAAUGAUUUUGUUUCCUAAUUAAACAAGGAUAAUUUUUAGAUUUUUAUAAUAUAUGUUAAGAUAUAUGUAGAAUUGUAUUAAAUAUGAAACUGACUCCCAAAAUCAUAUUUUAAAAAACUAUUUUUUUCUUAUUUUUUGAAAUUUAUUGUAGGCUAGGGUGAUUUUAUCAAAGUAAUUUUUUUAAAAAUUUUCGGACCCAUUUGGGAUUGUUUUUGGAAGACUCAAAAAGGAUUUUGAAUAGCUAAAAUCUAAGUUUGGUGUUUUAUAAUUUUUUUUUAAAAAAAUUACUUCUGAUAAAAUUAUCUUAUCCACGUUAAAUUUUAAAAAGAAAGGAAAAAGUAAUUUUUUAAAAUCUGAUUUUAAGAAUCAUUUUUAUACUUAAUACAAUUUCAUAAAUAUCCUGAUAUAUAUCAUAAAAAUUCAAAAUUAUCUUUAUUAGUUAGGAAAUAAAAUCAAUAAUUUUAAAAAGAUUAUUAUUAUUUCUAAUUAUAUUGAGCUAACAAAAAGAAAUAAAAUUACUAAUAUAAAAUUUAUUUUAACUAUUAAUUAUUAUAUUUACCAAUAAAAAACAUUUUAUAUACACGUUUAUAAAUAUUUAAAUAAAAUUUAUUCAUGUCGAGUUCAACCAUUUAUAUUAUUACAGCAAUUUAACAACUGGUUGUCGUUGCUCGGGAAUUAUAGAAUUACCAUAUGUUGUAAAAAUGCACUAAGCCAUGCCAUGUGUUUGAUACAGGUUAUGCUUGUUCGAUUAAAUUGUACUCACCUAUAAAUCAAAGAUUCAGUACAUGUGCAUGUUAGUGGUCUUCAGAAUCCAGAAUAAUAAAUGCCUUGAAAUGCUUGAGUUCAAUGAUUUCGCAGAAGACCAAGUUCCUUGUUAAUGAGUCAGCAUGACUGAAUCCUUCACUAAGCCAAAUUUGUUUUCACUUUUAGUUUAGAAAUUGUCAUUAAUUAAGAAAGUGUUUGAUAAAAUGCUUUGGAAGGCACUGUUCGUUGGACGUUUGCCCAGAAUUUAUGAAAUCAUUGGUGUUUCAUCCUACUUGUAACACUCUUCUUUAUUUUCUAUUCUAACGAAGAAAUCUUUUAUUAGAAAAGUGACAAGAUUGCACCUUUCAUUUGUAUGUUAAGGAGGUGUAAAAUUUUCUCGUUAAAAUCCCAUCAUGAAAAAAACUCACGGGCAAAAACCUACUGCAAAUUAAAGAAAGAAGAGUAAAUCAUGAUAAAUACACUCUCUUUUACAAUGCAAGCGGAUGCUUCAAUGAGUGGAUCAUGCGCCAAACUUGUAUAUCGUUGUUGGUAGUGCUUUGUUGAAUCAAUAUGAUAGAUUUUCACUUUUCUUUUUUUUCUUUUCUUUUUUUUUUCCUUGUGGAUACGAAAAUGAUUUGGGUUAAACUAUACUUAAUGCCGGUUUGGUACGACUUCUCUACUAAUUAAAAGAGUUUUUUUUCUUAAAUGUUCAAAAAGAUUUUUUAUUAUAAAUUGUAAUUUGAGUGGAUUUCUUGGGAUUAAACAAGUUACAUUUUUGUCUCUAUAAAGAAGUUCAAGUUAUAGAUUUUGGCAAUAGAGAUGUAGAGGUUUUUUUUUUUUCAGAGAACUAAAUUGUGGAGACUAUCUUUAUUUGGUUAUACAACUUUUUUUUUUUUAAUUUCAUAACAUAAUUUUAAAAGACUUAUUUAAUAAAUUUGAUAUUUUUUUGUAAAAAUUAUCAUUCACGUCCAAACUACUGAAGAUUUUUUUGUUAAACGCACUACUUAAAAGUUAUAUUAAUUAUAAACUUUCUAAAAAAAAAAAACAAUUCAAAGAGUUAUAGCAAACAAAGUGCUAGUUAACUUCAGUCGAUAAUAAUCUUCUAAUCCGUCCUACAAAUGACUUUCGACAAGAGUGGUGCUACUCACAUCUCUUCAAAACCCAUUUGACACCCCGUUUUCUUUAUUUAAAAUUUUAUACAUUUGAAAAUUAUUUUUUCUUUUACUUGACACUCUUCAAAUUCUAAAACUAAGCUUCAAAGAACCUUCGUCAUUAAAUCUCAUUGCCUUCCUUUAUUCUUGUUACUUGAGAAGAAGAAUGAGAGUCUGGAAGAAUGAAAGAAAAUUCAGCGAGAUAGAAAUCUAGUAAUUUCAUACCAUGAUUCAGAAUUUUUUUUUUCUCAAAAGAAUCUACUAUUCUUCUAUAUUUUAUAUAAAAAAAAGAGGAAAAGAGGAAACUGAGAGACUCUUUGUUUAAUGCUUGAAAGUUAGAAAGAAAAGGUCAGGAAGCUGCCUGGUAAUGAGAGUGAUGCAUCAGCACUAAUUUCUAUCUCGAUAGCUACCAAUUACCACCCCUAGAAAGGCUGUUGAUCAACAAGCCAUAUCUACUGGUUUCCUUUCUUUAAAAGUUCUAAUGGUCCCCUUAAAAAUCUCUAUAUGCUCAGUCUUCUCAUGAUAUAUCUGAUUUUCGCUGAGAAUUAUAGCAAGCGCUUCAGAUAUCAUAAUACUUUGUGACUGACUACUGUGCAUGCUUAAUUAUAAGAUUAUUCCUUGUGGCCAAAUAAAAUGACCCCCUUUAGAGCCUCUGUAUUUGAAAAAGCAAGACAAUGAGCUUAAUUAUUGUCAAGGUCUCCAGUAGGAUACUCCUAAAUCCAUAUACCCACCCACCAGAACUCCAAUCUUGAAACUUAUAGAUCAAACCAUAACUUAAUGUGCCUGGCAACCAGGGAUAUGUCAGGCCUUUAAAAAACCACUACAUACAUUUGAGUCUGAAAUUGCUCCAAUUAGUAUUAUGAUUAUUAUUUUAAAAAACUCAACCUAAGCAAAGUGCCUCAGCAUACAAUAUUUAUUGACAACUAAAAAGUAAUAGUGGGUGGGGGUUGCCCUGGGUUUUGUUUAAAAAUUGAAGUAAAAAAUUUUCAAAUUUCAAAUUUCUAGUACAAAGAAAAUUGAUGACUAAAUUAAAUUCUGCAAAUUAAUUUCUAAUAUUACAUGAAAAUAUAUCAAGUUAAUUGGUAACAUUGUUAAUCACUUAAUCCUCAAUCUAAUACGUUAUGUAUUUGUUACUCUGUCUUAAAUCAAAAGUGGCGGUGAUUUAUUUUUAUUUUCACUAAUAAGAAAGGCAUGUUAGAGCUUUUAUUUUGUUGAAAAUGAACCAAAAAACUCCGAUUGGGAGAUUAUAAAUGUAUUUAACAAUAAUUUAACUUCCAUUUUGAAAGUCAUUAUAUUGUUUAUUCAGGAGAAGCGUUCUUUUAUAUUUUAUAGAUAUAAUGUUUGCUAAUCCUAAUUUAAGCUAAAGCAUAUGCAUUUCCUAAUUAAUUCUAAUUUAAGCUUAUUCAACUGCAUUCAAUUAAUGUUCGAUAAUACAAAUUCUAAAUACUAUAUACUCUAAGAAUUUUAAUCGUAAUGACAAGGUGAUCAUUUAAUUAUUACCGUUAAAUUAUAUAUGUAUGGUGGAGACGAGUCCACACGGUUUUGACGAGAAAUUAAAGACAAUAUUUAGUUAAGCUAGUAGUAUUUGUUCUGUUUAGUACGUCGUUUUACCAGCAAGCAUCCCGGCAAUGCACGCAUUAAUAAAAAAAUUUAUCUGUUUGGACUGAUUGGUAGUGAAAAAUUCCACAUACUUUAAAUUAAGAAAAUGCUAAGUAUCUUAAAGAAAACAAUUAAAAUAUUGUCACUUGAUGCUUGAAUCAUUAUUGUUAAAUAUCUCCGUUGAGUUGUAUUCCCCAGCUGUGAGUAUCAUUAUUGUCUUUGCUAUCUAAUCAAUUCAAUUUUCUUUCUGGAGACAAGAUUUUGAUUCCUUUCAUCGUUACAAAAACGGAACCAUGGUUGAUGUGGGAGAGAUCUUACUCAACGCCUUCUUUCAGGUGUUGUUCGACAGGUUGGCUUCCCGUGAUUUGCUCAGCUUUGUCCGUCAACUUGGAGGGGGGGUCGAUUCCGAGCUCAAGAAGUGGGAAAGAAAGCUGAAGAUGAUUCAGGCGGUGCUCAACGAUGCAGAGGAGAAGCAACUGACUGAUGAGGCUGUGAAGAUGUGGCUGGACGAUCUCCAAGACUUGGCUUAUGACGCUGAGGACAUUCUUGAUGAGUUUGCUACUCAAGCUUUGGAAAGCAAGUUGAUGGAGCAAAAUCAGGAUAGCUCUGGCCAGGUUCUCAGUUUCAUCCCGGCUAGUUUGAAUCCGAAUGCUAUUAUGUUCAAUUAUAGCAUGGGGUCCAAGAUUAAAGAUAUUACUAGCCGGCUGGAGCAACUCUGCCAAGAAAGAAUUGAACUUGGACUGCAGCGGAUUACUGGAGGGGCAUCAUCAACUGCUGCUGCUACACAGCAGAGGCCGCCCAGUUCGAGUGUCCCAACAGAACGUGAAGUAUUUGGAAGAGCAAAAGAUAAGGCCAAAAUUCUUGAUAUGGUAUUGGCCGAUACCCCAAGUGAUCAUGCCGACUUUGUUGUAAUACCCAUUGUUGGCAUGGGCGGGAUAGGAAAAACAACUCUCGCUCGGGAGGUUUACAAUGACAAGGCCGUUGGCGGUUCCAAGUUUGAUGUAAAAGCAUGGGUUUGCGUAUCUGACGUCUUUGAUGUUUUGGGCAUCUCAAAGGCACUUCUCGAGUCAAUCACCCGCAGGCCAUGUCUUCUAAACAGUUUAAAUGAAGUGCAGGUUGAAUUGAAAGUAGCUGUGGAUAAAAAAAGAUUCUUGCUGGUCUUAGAUGAUGUUUGGAACGAGGAGUACAGCUUGUGGGUAGACUUAAAAGCUCCGUUCCUGGUUGCUGCACCAAACAGUAAGAUGAUCGUCACCACACGCAAUUCAAAUGUUGCAUCAACAAUGGGGCCAGUUGAACAUUACAAUCUCAGGAGUCUAUCGGAUGAUGAUUGCUGGUCCAUUUUCAUAAAGCAUGCAUUUGAAUCUAGAGAUCUUAACGCACAUCAAAUUUCAGAAUCAUUCCGCAAGAAAGUUGUUGCCAAGUGUGGAGGCUUGGCCCUGGCAGCAAAAACACUCGGAGGCCUUCUGCGUACGACGAGGCAUGAUGCGUGGGAUGAUAUAUUAGAGAGCAAAAUAUGGGAUUUACCACGACAAAGUGGGGUUCUCCCAGUAUUAAGAUUGAGUUACCAUCAUCUUCCUUCUCAUUUGAAAAUGUGUUUUGCUUUCUGUGCAAUCUUUCCAAAAGAUUAUGAAUUCAAAGAGAAGGAGCUGACUUUUUUAUGGAUGGCCGGAGGAAUUAUUCGACAGUCAAGAAGCAAAGAGCGGCUAGAAGAUUUGGGCAGCAAGUGCUUCCAUGAUCUGGUGUCAAGGUCAAUUUUUCAGAAAUCAGCAAUCUCUGCUAGUUCUAAAUUUGUAAUCCAUGACCUUAUCCAUGAUCUUGCUGAAUUGGUCUCUGGAGAAACCAUAUUUAGGUUAGAGGAGGCCAAUACUCUGUCAAGAAGAUUUGAAAGGGUUCGCCAUUCCUCCUAUGCUUGUGGUGGAUAUGAUGGUAAAAAUAUGUUCGAUGUUUUCAAUGAAAUUGAACAUCUACGAACAUUCUUGCCAUUACGCUUACGCAUAAGAGGUGGCUUUAGUUCUGGUUACAUAAGUCGAACGGUCCUAUCUGACUUGCUGCCAAAGUUCAAAAGGUUGAGAAUGCUAUCUUUAGAAGGAUACUGUAUUGGCGAGUUACCAAUUCCAUUUGAAGAUUUGAGACUUUUAAGGUUUCUCAACCUUGCUGACACUGACAUAAGAAGUUUACCCGAGUCAACAUGCAAAUUGCUGAACUUGGAAAUUUUUAUAUUAAGAAAUUGUUCCCGUUUGAUAAAGCUUCCAGCCAAAAUGAGGAAUUUGAUCAAUUUACGCCAUCUGGAUAUAAGAGGUGCGAAGUUGCUGAAGGAGAUGCCAGUCGGAAUGAAAGAGCUGAAGAAGCUUCAAACAUUGUACAAUUUCAUUGUGGGCAAGGGUGAAACUGCAUCCGGUUUGGAAGAAUUAAAAAGUUUAAACUUUCUUUGUGAUGAACUUUGCAUUGCUGGAUUAGAGAAUGUGAAUAAUCCACAGAAUGCAAGAGAAGCGGCAUUAUGCGAGAAGCACAAUCUUGAAGCACUGACUCUAGAUUGGGGGUCUCAAUUUGACAAUUCUCGAGAUGGAGUAGUAGAAGAGCAUGUACUGGAAAUUCUACAGCCUCAUAAACGUAUAAAAAAGGUGGCAAUCAGGAACUAUAGAGGUGCAAGAUUUCCACAUUGGAUAGGAGAUCCUUUGUUCUCCAAAAUAGAGUUCCUUGAAUUGGAGAACUGUGACAAUUGUGUAUCUUUGCCAUCGCUUGGCCGUUUGAGUUCACUUAAACACCUUGCUGUUAAAGGGCUGAAGAAACUAAAAAGCAUAGAGUCUAAGGUUUAUGGGGAGGGUUUCUCAAUGCCUUUUCCAUCAUUGGAGAUUCUAAGUUUCGAGAAUUUGCCAGAAUGGGAGCAUUGGGACACCGAUAUCAAAGGAAAUGUACUUGUUGAAAUAUUUCCUCGUCUCCAUAAACUUUCCAUUGUGGAAUGUCCCAAACUCUCCGGAGAACUGCCUGAUCUCCUGCCCUCCUUGGAGACACUUGUUGUUAGUAAAUGUGAAAAGUUGGUAGUUCCAUUGUCUUGCUAUCCGAUGCUCUGCAGAUUAGAAGUUGAUGAGUGCAAGGAACUAGCGUGCGCGACUCCAAUUGAUUUUAAGUUGAUAAAGUCUGUGACUAUUUCAAAUUGUUCACUAGACAUGUAUGGAUGCAAGGGGAUGCUAUACAAUGGUCCAGCUGGCUCUUCACUGCCGAAAUCCAUGACUAUUACAAAUGUUUUGGCGUUUGGAAAAUUAUUGAAGCCUGAAUUUCAGAUAUUAGAAACUUUGGUAAUUGACAAUUCUGAACAGCUCAUGUCAUGGAGGCAGCGUGGGAAUUUCCGAGAAGAAUAUUUGGCCGUUCGCCGAAGGCUUAUCAAACCAUUACAAGGGCUAAAUAUGCUCGCUUCCCCAGAAGAGGUAACAAUUGAAGAAAGUUGUGUGAGUUUUGUUUUAUUUUCAGAGAUCAAUUUCUUUCCCAGAAAUCUGCGCUCUCUUCUAAUUUGCAGCAGCACAGCUUUAAAAUCCUUACCCGAUGAAAUGAUGGACAACAGUUCACAACUCAAAAGGUUGUAUAUCAGAGAUUGCGAUUCUCUAACAUUCAUCACAAGACGCAAGCUACCUUCAUCUCUAAAAAGUAUAGAGAUUCAGAAUUGUGAGAAACUGCGACAUUUGUUCGAUGAUAAAGAGGAUGCUUCUUCUUCUUCUCCUCCUUCAUCCUCGCCCUCCCCAGUGAUGCUGAAACACCUGAGUAUAAAUAAUUGCCCAGAGCUCACCAGUUUAUCAACAGGAAUCCAAUUACUUGAGGCGCUUGAACACCUCGACAUACGGGAUUGUCGAAAGCUGGAGUCAUUACCAGAUGGCCUUCACAAUCUUAACUGUUUACAGGAGAUUACUCUAAACAGUUGUCCAAGUCUUCUUAGAGGGCUUCCCAACACGAUUUCAAGGGUUGACAUUUACAGCUGUCCAAGUCUUGUUUCCUUCCCAGAAAGAGGACUUCCCAACACGAUUUCAAAGGUUGACAUUUUUAAUUGUGAGAAGCUCGAAGCCCUGCCCAAUGACAUGCACAAACUCAACUCUCUUCGAGAUUUAAGCAUAUUGGGGUGUCGAAAUCUUGUAUCCUUUCCAGAAGAAGGUUUUCCUACCAGUCUAACAUCACUUAGAAUUGGAGAUUUCAAAAUGUAUAAGACACUCAUCCAGUGGGGGUUGCACAGGCUUACCUCUCUUAGACGCCUCUAUAUCGUUGAUUGUGAUGACGAAGCAGAGUGUUUUCCAGACGAGGAGAUAGGAACGAUGCUGCCUACCUCCCUAACUCAUCUAUCCUUUCGGGGAUUCCGAAAUUUGAUAUCUCUGUCUUCGACGGGUUUUCAGAGCCUCAACUCUCUUCAAUACUUGUGGAUCAGGGAUUGCCCGAAUCUCACAUCAUUCCCAGAGGUGGGCCUUCCAUCCUCACUUUUGGCAUUAUGCAUUAUCGAUUGUCCAAAGCUUAAAAAAGCGUGCAAAAGAGAUCAAGGAAAAGAGUGGUCCAAAAUUGCUCACAUCCCUCGCAUUGACAUAGACAGGAAAUUCAUAUACGAUCCAGAAUCAGAGGAGUAGAUUCUACUAUUAAGGUCAGUUGAUUUGUAUUAUCCGCCAUAACAAGCUCCUCCUUUUUUUUUAAAUAAUAAUAAUAAUUCUUACCAAUUAAUGAUGGUAAGAUGUGUACUUAUUCUUUCUUCCGGACAACCUUGCCUUCUUUCUUCGGUAGCAUAUCUAAUGAAUAUUUCUCUGUUUAGUUAAGGAUGAAUGCUUGGAGUGGAGUAUUUGGUAACAUUUCUGCCGUAGAUGAAACCUUGAAGAAAUGCCUGCACUUCCUGAGACCAAAUACAGGUCUGAUUCACAACAACACCUGUCCCAGAAAAUAUGAUACAAGCCAAAGCCAUGUUCUGAAGCAGAAAUAACGCAUUUCAAUUUUUAUCUGGUAAAAAUACACAGCCCUCGCCUACAAAAUUCUUAUCUUGGCUUUCACGGAUAUUUUUAUCACGUAACCACGUGAGGAAGCAUGUGCUGGAGCCUGAAUUCAGUUAGUUAAAGUUUGUUAACCACGUGUCAACAAACUGUAUAAUCUGGAAAAUACGCUAGCUAUUGAAACAGGGUAUAAAGGCUGGUUUUUCAGGGACUAUCGAGAGCUGAUUCUAGAGUCUUGUAGAAAGAGGUUUGUGAGAGAGAAAGUGUCAUCUUGUUCUCUGUAAAAUCCGAUAUAGGGCUCUGUAACGAUCUCCAUUGUUGAAUCAAUAAAACUCAUCUAGAAGCUUCUCCCGUGGACGUAUUCUGAGCAUUCAAUGCACAGCUGAACCACGUAAUAUCUUGGUUUCAGUGGGUUCUUGUUUUGGUUCUUGAUAAAUUCUUGUUGUUGUAUUGAGGUGUGAUUUGAUGUGUCUAAACUUGCAUCUGUGCAACUUGAAUUGAUUUGAUGAUAAUAAUCUUGGGCAGUGAUCAGAUUCGUUUAGUUUAAAGAACAAGCUGAUUACUACCGUACCUAUGCAUGGACCUGUAACCUGUGCUGACAAAACUGAAACUAUGAGUUUGAGGUAAAAAGGUCCUGGACCCUCACAGUUUAACUUGGACUUGUAGCUUUCUGGAUAAACACAUUUUAGAAGUUUGCAAUUUGUUGUUAAUUACGGUAUGUGAUUUUCUUUUUUGUUUUCGCUUUUGUAGAAUCUACCGUAUUACAUAUUGGCAGUUGUAUCUGAGGUACCAUUUUUGCAUUUAACUUGCCUUUAUCUGUUUUGCCUGUUACUUAACAACACAUCAUUUCCCAAAGAUUUGGAGAAGCAUCUCAAGAUGCUUAACAAACUUGACAAACUUCAAGAUGCUCCCAAGCCUUGAUUCUUCACAAAGGAAGACCUGUGAGUACACUUAUGCCCGCAAUUAUUGUGAAGUGAUUGCAACUUUGAUGCAGCGAAACGGUUUGCUGGUGCAAAGCUUUAAAACUGUUAAGAAUUACCCUGCAGGCUUGUUGGAUGUUGUAUACUCCGAAAGCCACCAACACCAAGAACUAUAACAGCAAGACUAGGUUUGCAUUAAUUCAAUUAGCUGAAAUAAUGAUGCAAAUGGCACUAUCCAGCUCGACUUAGAGACUAGUCAGGUCAAUCAUCCAUUUCAUCAACAGUUAAUGUCAGGAUGGUGGCUAGCAGAGGAAACAAAGGAUAUGUUGGAAUCAAUAAGAACAGUGAGAAGCAUGAGAGGAGCUUUGAUUAUAAGUAGGCUCAAUGAACUAGUGUUGGUAAGUGGUAAUUAGAGCAAUUUGUGAGCUUAGUAGAGUUUCAAUAUUUUCUGUUUGGGAUAUAGUUGAUAAGUUGAUACUCUGAUAAAGAAGGCUGAUUAUAGUAGCUGACUAUAUUAACCGGGUUCUCUUUUUUGGUUUGCUGUUGUUUUUUCUUUCAAUAUCUUUUUCAACAUUAGGUUUAAGAACAAGCUUGGGUUUGAUUAUCAGGUAAGAACAAAUGAAUGCUUUAACCAUGUUUCUCACUUAUCACAAUGCACGGAUUGAAGGCGUCUGAGUUGAUCCUGAAACGUGCCUCAGCAAGUAUUAUGAUUAUUAUUUUAAAAAACUCAACCUAAGCAACGUGCCUCAGCAUACAAUAUUUAUUGACAACUAAAAAGUAAUAGUGGGUGGGGGUUGCCCUGGGUUUUGUUUAAAAAUUGAAGUAAAAAAUUUUCAAAUUUCAAAUUUCUAGUACAAAGAAAAUUGAUGACUAAAUUAAAUUCUGCAAAUUAAUUUCUAAUAUUACAUGAAAAUAUUAUCAAGUUAACUGGUAACAUCGUUAAUCACUUAAUUCUCAGUCUAAUACGUUAUGUAUUUGUUACUCUGUCUUAAAUCAAAAGUGGCGGUGAUUUAUUUUUAUUUUCACUAAUCAGAAAGGCAUGUUAGAGCUUUUAUUUUGUCGAAAAUGAACCAAAAAAACUCCGAUUGGGAGAUUAUAAAUGUAAUUAACAAUAAUUUAACUUCCAUUUUGAAAGUCAUUAUAUUGUUUAUUCAGGAGAAGCGUUCUUUUAUAUUUUAUAGAUAUAAUGUUUGCUAAUCCUAAUUUAAGCUAAAGCAUAUGCAUUUCCUAAUUAAUUCUAAUUUAAGCUUAUUCAACUGCAUUCAAUUAAUGUUCGAUAAUACAAAUUCUAAAUACUAUAUACUCUAAGAAUUUUAAUCGUAAUGACAAGGUGAUCAUUUAAUUAUUACCGUUAAAUUAUAUAUGUAUGGUGGAGACGAGUCCACACGGUUUUGACGAGAAAUUAAAGACAAUAUUUAGUUAAGCUAGUAGUAUUUGUUCUGUUUAGUACGUCGUUUUACCAGCAAGCAUCCCGGCAAUGCACGCAUUAAUAAAAACAUUUAUCUGUUUGGACUGACUGGUAGUGAAAAAUUCCACAUACUUUAAAUCAAGAAAAUGCUAAGCAUCUUAAAGAAAACAAUUAAAAUAUUGUCACUUGAUGCUUGAAUCAUUAUUGUUAAAUAUCUCCGUUGAGUUGUAUUCCCCAGUUGUGAGUAUCAUUAUUGUUGUUUGUGCGAUAUGUUUCGACGAAGACCAGCAGUGAUGAGCAGGCGUCUGGUAGCAGGGUUCCUCGAACAGGUAUAUCUUGCAAGAGUCUGGUAGCAGGGGGAGCAAGAGCAGGAGUAUCCUGCUCGUCCACGAGUACGUCAUCCACGAGGCCGGUCUCCUGUUGGGAGCGUAAAGCCAUUCCUGCUAUAUUCCUGCUAGCGGUUGAGUCGAGGAGACCCGGUCAACGACAGUUGACGAGACAUGCUCUCCAGUCCGAGAAUCAAGGCGCGAAGGCCACGCAACCACCCACGACUACGGAAAUGGAGCAUCCACUUUCGAGAAGUGGGAGGAUGACAAGCGCAAAGGGAGGAAAUGCAUGGGCUCAGAAGUGGCCUAUAAAAAGGUAACCAACGAAGGUAAAAGGGUUAGCAAUUUUGAGAUUAUAACAGAGACUAAGGAAAUUCUAAAGAAGAGAAAACUAUUAAAAAGCCAUAAGAUCUGUGGCAAGCGUUCCCAGAGCCUUCAUAUCUGACUUGAGCGUCGGAGGGUUUACGCCGGGAAAACAACCGGCGUGCUCUGACUUGUUUCUGUGGACGCAGGAAUACUUGGAGAAGAAAGCAUACAAGGAGAGAUCCUGGUCGAGGUGAGGUUGAUUGAGCAGAUAUCCUGGUCGUAGGAAGAGCGUAACCAGAAUCUCGCAUCAAUAUUUUGGCGCCGUCUGUGGGGAGCUGAGCAAAAAGUUUCUGUUGAUAGCAAAGAAGAGGAGUGAAGCAAGUGAAAAGCAAUGGAGACAGGAGGAAGUAGUGCACAAGGGGGUGAUAUGAGGCUUAACGAUUCCGUGACGCUGAGGGAGAUAGCCAGUGAAGCACGGGAAAAAGCCAUGUUCGACCGGAUGGAACGGAUGGAAAAGCAGAUGGAGACCUUGACAACCAUCCUACAUGAGCUGCGGAGCGAACGAAGGGUAACCCAGGAGGAAAGGGUGAGAGGUGGUGGAGUGGCACCAGGUCCCGAUAGUGCGAGGAGAAGUCAAACCACCGGGAGAUUUGGUGGUGAGAGAGGUAACAUACCUCUGCAGGGAAAUUGCAUAGAGAGGAAGAGCAGUCCCCGGCAAGACAGAUUUUUGACGAGGACGACGGGGUGGCGAAUGCAGAGGAAGCAGAGUUGAGGCAAUACUUGCAUGAUGUAGUGCAAGAGCGGGAUCAAGUCGCAGCACGUGACCCUGGUCGUGCAGAGCAGCUGGAGGAGGAAGUGUGCAGGCUAGCGCAGAUAAUUGACGACAUACAAGGAAGGAGCAGAGCUCCUGGUUGGAGGAUAAUGCUGGACGGAGAAUCACCGCUCGCAGCAGAGAUCAUGAGGGCAGUUAUUCCAAGAGAUUUCCGCCUCCCAGACCUUAGAUAUUCGGGAUGAACUGAUCCGCUGGUGCACAUAGAGCGCUUCAACGACAUAACUGGGGUACAAGGAUUAUCUCAAUCCUAAAGGUGCAGGGUGUUCCCACUAUCCCUUGAGGGACGCGCACGAGAGUGGUACAGGAAACUUCCUCGGGGGAGCAUUAAAACCUUCGAGCAGAUGUGCCAGGAAUUUGCAGAACAGUUCCGUGGGGCAAUGGCACCAGAAGAUGACAUGAUGGAGUUGAAAAACAUGAAGCAGGGGGAACAAGAAACACUUCGGGAAUUCAUCAAGAGGUUUCACCGUGCUGUCCUCGACUUGGGAGCCUUCAACCACCCUCAAACGUUAAGGGGAUUGAAAGAAGGGGUGAAGAUAGGAAGGCUGUGGUACAACUUGAGAAGCCCAGUUAUUCAGACGUAUGCGGCCGCAUACGAGCAGGCUAAGAGAGACAUUGAGAUUGAAGAGGAGAAGGCAGCACAGAUUAAGACAGACCAGUUAGAAGGGUGGGGGAGGAAAGAGAAGAAAGCAUUACCGGGGAAUGGGCCGAUCAGGAGGAGGAACCACCAGGCCUCGAGUAGUGGAGCAGAAGGUCGGGUAACUGCUUACCAGCCUCAUCAGAGGCCACUACAGUAUCAGCACAGCAGGGCGCAACCUCCUCGUUCCCCAGCUGGGGAGCCUUGGAGAAGGCAUGACUCGGCGUAUGGUGGUCUUCAUCAACACUCCCACGGUAGUAGAAGGGGCAGACCAGAAGCGCUGCCACCGCCUCCAACUCAGAACGGAGCAAAUAGAGAAAGGGCAGUGCACCUGAUCGACCAGAACCAGGACUAUGGGCGAUAUACUUCCUUGAAGAUGUCCCUGGCCGAGGUGUACGAGGCCAUAAAGGAUCGAGGGUCGUUAUACCUCCCUGCCCCAAUAACAAAGCUACCCAGCAGGAGGGAUAGGGGACGCUAUUGUAAGUUCCAUGGCACUCAUGGCCACACCACAGCAGAUUACAGGGAUCUCAAGACCCAGGUUGAAGAUUUGGUGAGAAAUCGGUAUCUGGACGAGUUUAUAGAUGGGACCUUCCCAAUGGUAGCCUCGACCAGCGAAUGGGAGCAGAGUGACAGGAACUUGAGGCGCGAGCAGCCUGCAGUAAGGGUGAUAGCUGGGGGCCCAACAUUGGCCGGAGAUUCCAACAGGUUGAGGAAGAAUUACGCUAGAUACGCCAUGACCAGCAAAGAUGUAUUCUUCACCACCCCAGCAGCCAAACGUGCAAGAGUCAGGCAAGUGCCAAUUAUGUGGACAGAUGAGGAUGAAGAAGGGAUUCUAUACCCCCACGAGGAUGCUUUGGUCAUCAAGGCCACUGUUGCCAGCAAGAAGUUUGACAGGAUACUGGUUGACACAGGGAGCUCAGUUGAUGUGUUGUUUAAGUCAACCCUGGAGGAGAUGGGAAUAGCAGACCUGAAGUUGGAUUACACCAAUACCUCCUUGAAGGGGUUUGGAGGAGGAAAGUUGGUCCCUCUGGGCGUGGUCGAGCUGCCUAUCACGAUUGGGAGCUCCCCGACAGAAGGGACAAUGAUACUGGACUUUGUGGUAGUGGAUGAGGAAGGUCCUUAUCAGAUGAUCCUAGGCCGGCCAUUUCUGACGAUGAGCAAAGCGGUGCUGUCCAGCCAUUAUCUGGCUCUCAAGUACCGGGUGAAUGGGGUAGUUGGAGUGGUACGAGGAGACCAGAGGAUCGCAAGAAGCUGCUACUCCUCGGCAGCAAAGGAAGCAAUGCAGAUAACAUCCCUUGAUACCCGAGUGGAAGCCAGGAAUGGCAGCUAGUUGGACCCGGAGUUUACAAGCUGGUUCGCACGGAUGGCCACAAGGUGAAACGCCCAUGGAGCGCGACACACCUCAGGAAAUAUUUCUAGUAAGACUUACUCAUCUUUUAAAGUUAUUUCUGUUCGUGCCCGUUGUUUUCUAUUUUUCAUUUCUUAUUUCAAAGCAAUCUCAUGUAAGCCGAAUUCAAUAAUAAAUGAAUCAAUGAGGAGUUUCAGUCAACUACACUGUUCAAGAAAUUAUCAAAGGCAUGCAAAGGCUAGUCAAGUCUCAAAGCCUGUUUAUGGCGAGACCAGAAGCCAAGCGUGCCAGGAUCUGCUCGACCACGAGAAGGCGAGCAGAGUCCCAAGCUUUCAAGAAAUUAUCAAUGGCAUGCAAAGGCUCACCAAGUCUCAAAGCCUGUUUAUGGCGAGACCAGAAGCCAAGCGUACCAGGAUCUGCUUGACCACGAGAAGGCGAGCAGAGUCCCAAGCUUUCAAGAAAUUAUCAAAGGCAUGCAAAGGCUCACCAAGUCUCAAAGCCGGUUUAUGACGAGACCAGAAGCCAAGCGUUCCAGGAUCUGCUCGACCACGAGAAGGCGAGCAGAGUCCCAAGCUUUCAAGAAAUUAUCAAAGGCAUGCAAAGGCUCACCAAGUUUCAAAGCCUGUUUAUGACGAGACCAGAAGCCAAGCGUGCCAGGAUCUGCUCGACCACGAGAAGGCGAGCAGAGUCCCAAGCUUUCAAGAAAUUAUCAAAGGCAUGCAAAGGCUCACCAAGUCUCAAAGCCUGUUUAUGGCGAGACCAGAAGCCAAACGUGCCAGGAUCUGCUUGACCACGAGAAGGCGAGCAGAGUCCCAAGCUUUCAAGAAAUUAUCUAAGGCAUGCAAAGGCUCGCCAAGUCUCAAAGCCUGUUUUAUGGCGAGAUAGAAGCCAAGCGUACCAGGAUCUGCUCGACCACGUGAAGGUGAGCAGAAUCCCCAAGCAUCGGAAUAUUUUCCAAGGCAUGCAAAGGCUCGCCAAGUCUCAAAGCCUGUUUUAUGGCGAGACAGAAGCCAAGCAUGCCAGGAUCUGCUCGACCGCGCGAAGGCGAGCAGAAUCUCAAGCAUUGAAGAAUUUUCCAAGGCAUGUGGCAAAACCAUAUGCCGAGCCAGAACCUGCUAAACUAGACGAAGACGAGCAGAUUCUCAGACGAAAAAUAACUCAUGAUUACAACACAAGAAAGUAAUCAAAAACAUUUUUAUUAAUUUGUUAAUAAUUAACAGAGGAGAUAAUCUUCACAAACAUUGUUCAUUACAAUACAAGAAAUAUAUUAAGAGGACGGUGGAUCCGUAAGCCGAGCAGCCUCAGUCGGUUGGUCCACCUCAGGUGCUGGGGGAGUAUCACCGGUCGCGUCCGGGGGGGUGCUUGCCUCACCCACAUCAACAGGAACGGCACGAGGAGGAGAGUUUUCCUCAACUACGAUUGGUUCCACCGUUUCGGCAUCUUCCUUUGCAGCCUCCUCGUCCAUAUGUUGGGCGACACCAGUUGCAAGGUCGUCCAUCUUCAGAUCAGGAUGCUGCUUCCCGAGGACGACCAUGAUGCAACGAUAGGAAUGCCGAAGCCCCUAGUCGUACUGGUUGUCGGCCUCCCUCUCCAAGUUCUCGACCUGAGCUCGGUGGGAAUCGCGGAGAGAUUCGAGCUGAGCCUCAUAUAUAGCCUUCUGCCUUUGCAGAUCCUCCUCGACCUUGGUCAGCUCCUCCUCGAGGGUAAUGGCUUUUGCUUGAGCAAGAGAUUCUUGCUCUAUCAGCUUGAGGUUCUCAACAUUCAGCUCCCCUGCUUUCUUCUCGGCAGCGUCAGCUCUGGUCGUCGCCGAUUGAAUGUCCUCCUUAAUCUUGCGGUCGUAGCGGCCAACCUUCGCCUUGUAAUAGGUGGUCAUGCAGCUGAGGUAGAAAGCGCUAUACUGCAUGGCCCCCACCAGCUCACCCAAGGUGCAGCCGUCAAAGUCCUCCAGGUCCUUCUUGCUCACGAGUUUAGAUAACUCAUUGAGGUAGGGGACCAAGUGUUCUGCUUGGCUGUCAGGUAAGCGAGAUCGAGGCCCGACAGGAGGAGAAGAGGAAGCAGGAUCCGUGGCUGCUCCACUAGUUUCCCCAACUUUGGCAGGAGCAGGAGGUAAAGUCUUCAAGGGAGAGACUUGCUGUACGAUGUUGGCCUGCUUUGCAGAAGGGGCGUCCUUGUUCUGGUCCCUCUUCGUGGCUUGAGGUUGAGAACGUUUCCUGUUCAGAGCCCCAAUCACAGCGUCCUCCAUCUUAUGGCCAGGGAGUACCAAGCGAGACUCGAGCAAGUUGUAAACAGUUAUCAAUUCUCGGCUCGGGCAAGAGUUGGCUAGUAUAGCCUCGACCCGUUUGAGCUGAUCAGGUUGGAGCGAGAAGUGAACACCCCAAGAACCUGCAACACAAACAAACAUUUGAUUAGAGACAAACCAGUAAAGUGCAAACAACAAGGGAGACAAGACAUCUAAUACGAGCAGGCAACCUGGGACCAUGAAACGGGGUGGGACGCGACAAUCCUUCCCGUCUAUUUGUGCAACUUGACCCCAAGGACCCCCAGCAAAAAAGAAUUUCCUCUUCCAAGUCCCACCACCACCAGUUGGAAGAUCAGUUAUGGGUUUCUUGCUCUUGGUACUAGAUUGGAAGUAGUACCAGCCGGCAUCUUUGGGGCUGCUCUUUAGCUGGUACAGGUGCUUCACCUCAUCAACCGUGGGCUCGCUUUGGCAACAUCUGUCCCACAAUAUGAACAGACCAGAGAGCACCCUCCACCCAUUGGGGUUCAGUUGACCAGGAGCUAGAUUGAGCCCGUGGAGUAUGCGAGCAAAAUAGGGUUGCAAGGGGCACCUUAACCCGUACUUAAAACUCUCCUGGAACAAGGUGACAUAUCCCCUAGGAGGCCUGCUAGGACUAUCUUUUUUUCCUGGGAUCCUAAGGAGUACUUCACCAGGAAUAUGAUACCUGAGCCAGAGGUCAUCCAGCUCGUUGAAUGUGGUCGUGCAGGUCAUGUAAUCAAUAGCAUAAUCCCGCAACAAGGCUCUACCUCCUACUGUACUACGCCCUUCUGGUCGCAGUGUUCCCGGUGAAGAUCCCUCACCAGAGUCACCUCCUUGAUCCUCACUUAGGGUGUCUUCCGAGCCAGAAGGUCCUUCCUCGCCACUACUUCCGCUCGUGGAGGUUGUUUGGGGGGACAUCCUCCUAGCGCUAGUCCCGACACUAGACCUAGUGGGCUCUAAGGGGAUCCCGGGGUCAAAAGCAGAAUCAGUGAGCAGACUAGGCAAGAAACCUAGUUCGUCGUCAUCAGUCUCAAUGACUUUCUCCUUACCCUUCGACAUUCCCUAAGUUCUAACCAAAACACCACCACCGACUACAACCCCAAGUAAAGCAAAGAGAAAAGAAAUUAUCUACAACUAUCCGAGACCGAGGAGAUAGAAGUAAUACCUGAAGUAAUGGUUCAGUUAGAGAAAGGCAGGGGAGGAGACUUUUAUGCCGAGACUUCUUUGCCGGAGAGACAGAGACAGAGAUGGAGUAAAUGACGAAUUUUCCCUUUGAGAGGUUUUGGGUUUUCCUAAUGGAGAAUGAACUUUUGGAUUGCCAGCAUUUAAUAGCAUCGAAUCCCAAGGGUCUCGUAACCGUCGGUUUAAAAUUCAAAUAGAUGGGUAGAUUUCUGCCACAUCACCUGGUCCACAAUUAAAUGCGACACGACUCUUGGCAGCCUUUUCCUAUCCCGCGCGAGCAAGAACUGUCGAGUUUCUACUGUUGGCUCACUACGCUACCCAACACAAGAAACUGGGGGACUGGUGUUUGUGCGAUAUGUUUCGACGAAGACUAGCAGUGAUGAGCAGGCGUCUGGUAGCAGGGUUCCUCGAACAGGUAUAUCUUGCAAGAGUCUGGUAGCCGGGGGAGCAAGAGCAGGAGUAUCCUGCUCGUCCACGAGUACGUCAUCCACGAGGCCGGUCUCCUGUUGGGAGCGUAAAGCCAUUCCUGCUAUAUUUCUGCUAGCGGUUGAGUCGAGGAGACCCGGUCAACGACAGUUGAUGAGACAUGCUCUUCAGUUCGAGAAUCAAGGCGCGAAGGCCACGCAACCACCCACGACUACGGAAAUGGAGCAUCCACUUUCGAGAAGUGGGAGGAUGACAAGCGCAAAGGGAGGAAAUGCAUGGGCUCAGAAGUGGCCUAUAAAAAGGUAACCAACGAAGGUAAAAGGGUUAGCAAUUUUGAGAUUAUAACAGAGACUAAGGAAAUUCUAAAGAAGAGAAAACUAUUAAAAAGCCAUAAGAUCUGUGGCAAGCGUUCCCAGAGCCUUCAUAUCUGACUUGAGCGUCGGAGGGUUUACGCCGGGAAAACAACCGGCGUGCUCUGACUUGUUUCUGUGGACGCAGGAAUACUUGGAGAAGAAAGCAUACGAGGAGAGAUCCUGGUCGAGGUGAGGUUGAUCGAGCAGAUAUCCUGGUCGUAGGAAGAGCGUAACCAGAAUCUCGCAUCAACAAUUGUCUUUGCUCUCUAAUCUAUUCAAUUUUCUUUCUGGAGACAAGAUUUUGAUUCCUUUCAUCGUUACAAAAACGGAACCAUGGUUGAUGUGGGAGAGAUCUUACUCAACGCCUUCUUUUAGGUGAUGUUCGACAGGUUGGCUUCCCGUGAUUUGCUCAGCUUUGUCCGUCAACUUGGAGGGGGGGUCGAUUCCGAGCUCAAGAAGUGGGAAAGAAAGCUGAAGAUGAUUCAGGCGGUGCUCAACGAUGCAGAGGAGAAGCAACUGACGGACGAGGCUGUGAAGAUGUGGCUGGACGAUCUCCAAGACUUGGCUUAUGACGCUGAGGACAUUCUUGAUGAGUUUGCUACUCAAGCUUUGGAAAGCAAGUUGAUGGCGCAAAAUCAGGAUAGCUCUGGCCAACUUCUCAGUUUCAUCCAGGCUAGUUUGAAUCCGAAUGCUAUUAUGUUCAAUUAUAGCAUGGGGUCCAAGAUUAAAGAUAUCACUAGCCGGCUGGAGCAACUCUGCCAAGAAAGAAUUGAACUUGGACUGCAACGGAUUACUGGAGGGGCAUCAUCAACUACUGCUGCUGCACACCAGAGGCUACCCGGUUCAAUUGUCCCAACAGAACGUGAAGUAUUUGGAAGAGAAGAAGAUAAGGCCAAAAUUCUUGAUAUGGUAUUGGCCGAUACCCUAAGUGAUCAUGCCAACUUUGCUGUAAUACCCGUUGUUGGCAUGGGCGGGAUAGGAAAAACAACUCUCGCUCGGGAGGUUUACAAUGACAAGGCCGUUGGCGGUUCCAAGUUUGAUGUAAAAGCAUGGGUUUGCGUAUCUGAUGUCUUUGAUGUUUUGGGCAUCUCAAAGGCACUUCUCGAGUCAAUCACCCGCAGGCCUUGUCUUCUAAACAGUUUAAAUGAAGUGCAGGUUGAAUUGAAAGUAGCUGUGGAUAAAAAAAGAUUCUUGCUGGUCUUAGAUGAUGUUUGGAACGAGGACUACAGCUUGUGGGUAGACUUAAAAGCUCCGUUCCUGGCUGCUGCACCAAACAGUAAGAUGAUCGUCACCACACGCAAUUCAAAUGUUGCAUCAACAAUGGGACCAAUUGAACAUUACAAUCUCAAGAGUUUGUCAGAUGAUGAUUGUUGGUCCAUUUUCAUAAAGCAUGCAUUUGAAUAUAGAGAUCUUAACGCACAUCAAAUUUCAGAAUCGUUCCGCGGGAAAGUUGUUGCCAAGUGUGGAGGCUUGGCCCUGGCAGCAAAAACACUCGGAGGCCUUCUGCAUACGACGAGGCAUGAUGCGUGGGAUGAUACGUUAGAGAGCAAAAUAUGGGAUUUACCUCAACAAAGUGGGGUUCUCCCCGUAUUAAGAUUGAGUUACCAUCAUCUUCCUUCUCAUUUGAAAAGAUGUUUUGCUUACUGUGCAAUCUUUCCAAAAGAUUAUGAAUUCAAUCAGAAGGAGCUGACUUUCUUAUGGAUGGCUGGAGGAAUUAUUCGACAGUCACGAAACAGUGAGCAGCUGGAAGAUUUGGGCAGCAAGUGCUUUCAAGAUCUAGUGUCAAGGUCUAUUUUUCAACAAACCAGCUCUGGUAGUUCUAAAUUUGUAAUGCCCUAUCUUAUCCAUGAUCUUGCUGAAUUGGUUUCUAGAGGGACCAUUUUCAAGUUAGAGGAGUCCACCAACUUGUCGUCGAGGAGAUUUGAAAGAGUUCGCCAUUCUUCCUAUGCCCGCGGUUGGCAUGACGGUAAAAAUAAGUUUGAGGUUUUCUAUGAAAUUGAACAUCUACUAACAUUCUUGCCAUCACGCAUAAGAGGUGGCACUAAUACGAGUUACAUAACUCGAACGGUUCUAUCUGAUUUGUUGCUGAAUUUCAAAAGUUUGAGGAUGUUAUCUUUACAAGGAUACUGUAUUGGUGAGUUACCAAUUUCAUUUGAAGAUUUGAGACUUUUAAGGUUUCUCAACCUUGCUUACACUGACAUAAGAAGUUAUCUGAGUCAACAUGCAAAUUGCUGAACUUGGAAAUUUUGAUAUUAAGAAAUUGUUCUCGUUUGAUAAAGCUUCCACCCAAAAUGAGGAAUUUGAUCAAUUUACGCCAUCUCGAUAUAAGAGGUGCGAAGUUGCUGAAGGAGAUGCCAUUCGGAAUGAAAGAGUUGAAGAAGCUUCAAACAUUGUCCAAUUUUAUUGUGGGCAAGGGUGAAACUGCAUCUUGUUUGGAAGAUUUAAAAUGUUUAAACUUUCUUUGUGAUAAACUUUGCAUUGCUGGAUUAGAGAAUGUUAAUAAUCCACAGAAUGCAAGAGAAGCCGCAUUAUGUGAGAAACACAAUCUUGAAGCAUUGACUCUGGAUUAGGGGUUUCAAUUUGACAAUUCCUGAGGAGUAGUAGAAGAGCAUGUACUGGAAAAUCUACAGCCUCAUAAAUGUAUAAAAAAGGUGGCGAUCCGGAACUAUGGUGGUGCAAGAUUUCCCCUUUGGAUAGGAGAUCCUUUGUUCUCCAGGAUAGAGCUCCUAAAAUUGGAGAACUGUGACAAUUGUGUAUCUUUGCCAUCGCUUGGCCUAUUGAGUUCACUUAGACGGCUUGCUGUUAAAGGGCUGAAUAAACUAAAAAGCAUAGGGUCUGAGGUUUAUGGGGAGGGUUUCUCAAUGCCUUUUCCAUCAUUGGAGAUUCUAAGUUUCGAGAAUUUGCCAGAAUGGGAGCAUUGGGACACCGAUGUCAAAGGAAAUGUGCUUGUUGAAAUAUUUCCUCGUCUCCAUCAACUUUCCAUUGUGGAAUGUCCCAAACUCUCGGGAGAACUGCCUGAGCUCCUGCCCUCCUUGGAGACACUUUUUGUUAGUAAAUGUGAAAAGUUGGUAGUUCCAUUGUCUUGCUAUCCGAUGCUCUGCAGAUUAGAAGUUGAUGAGUGCAAGGAACUAGCAUGCGGGACUCCAAUUGAUUUUAAGUUGAUAACGUCUGUGACUAUUUCAAAUAGUUCCUUAGACAUGAAUGGAUGCAAGGGGAUGCUAUACGAUGGUCCAGCUGGCUCUUCACUACCAAAGCCUAUGAUUACUACAAAUGUUUCGGAGUUUGGAAAAUUAUUGAAGCCUGGAUUUCAGAUAUUAGAAACUUUGGUAAUUGCCAAUUCUGAACAGCUCAAGUCAUGGAGGCAGAAUGGGGAUUUUCCGGAAAAAUACACGGCCCCUGAACAUAGGUUUAAGAAACCAGUACGAGGGCUGAAUAUGCUCGCUUCCCCUGAAGAGGUAACAAUUGAAGAAAGUUGCGUACGUCUUGUUUUGUUUCCAGAGAUCAAUUUCUUUCCCAGAAAUCUGCGCUCUCUUCUAAUUAACAACAACACUGCUUUCAAAUCCUUACCCGAGGAAAUGAUGGAAAACAAUUCACAACUCGAAAGGUUGUAUAUCAGAGAUUGCGACUCUCUAACAUUCAUCGCAAGACGGAGGCUACCAGCAUCUCUUAAAAGGCUUGAGAUAGAAAAUUGUGAGAAAUUGCAACGUCUGUUCGAUGAUGAAGAGGAUGCUUCUUCUUCUUCACCUUCACCCUCGUCUUCCCCAGUGAUGCUGCAACACCUGAGUAUAGAGAACUGCCCAGAGCUCACCAGUUUAUCAUCGGGUGUCCAAUUCCUUGAGGCGCUUGAAGACCUCGACAUACAGGGUUGUCCAAAGCUGGAGUCAUUACCGGAUGGCCUGCCCAAUCUUAAAUGUUUACAGAGCAUUUAUAUACGGGGAUGUCCAAGUCUUGUUUCCUUCCCAGAAAGAGGGCUUCCCAACACGAUUUCAAGGGUUGACAUUUGCAGUUGUGACAAGCUCAAAGCCUUGCCCAAUGAUUUGCACAAACUCAACUCUCUUCGAGAUUUAAGAAUACGGCUGUGUCGAAAUCUUGUAUCGUUUCCAGAAGAAGGUUUUCCUACCAAUCUAACAUCACUUACAAUUGGAAAUUUCAAAAUGUAUAAGACACUCGUCCAGUGGGGGUUGCACGGGCUUACCUCUCUUAAACGCCUCUCGAUCAGUGGAUGUCAUGAAGCAGAGUGUUUUCCAGACGAGGAGAUAGGAAUGACGCUGCCCACCUCUCUCACUCAACUGCUCCUUUAGGGAUUCGAAAAACUGAUAUCUCUGUCUUCGACGGGUUUUCAAAGCCUCAACUCUCUUCAAUACUUAUUGAUCUGGGGUUGCCCAAAUCUCACAUCAUUCCCAGAGGCGGGUCUUCCAUCCUCACUUUUGGAUUUAGGCAUUUACAAUUGUCCAAAGCUUAAAAGAGCGUGCAAAAGAGAUCAAGGAAAAGAGUGGCCCAAAAUUGCUCACAUCCCUCGCAUUGAGAUAGACAGAAAAUUCAUAUACGAUCCAGAAUCAGAGGAGUAGAUUCUAUUACAAAGGUCAGUUGAUUUCUAUUAUCCUCUAUAACAAGCUCCUCUUAAUUUUUUUUUUCUAAGUAAUAAUUUUGCAGUUCUGUAUAAUUAUUAAUCGUCUGCUCUUAAUUGAAAAUGUCACUCACUUGAUUCCGUUUUCACUAGUCAAAUUGUAUGUUGAGGCUAUUUGCUUUUUAAUUAUAACACUUAUCUUAAAAUUUAAUACCAAAUUUUUUUGAUUCACUUCAAUUAGCAUUUUGUUUUCCCCAAAUUAGGCAAGCCGAGAGCUUCAUUAACUAGAGUUUUUUAUUUUUCGGACCUUGCAUCUGAAAGGUUCAGUGUAUUUUUUUUUUUUUCAAAUUUAUUGUUCAGAUCUCAGACGAGUAUACGGUUUAGAUUACAAAACACCUAUGAUUAAUUUCUUUUUUUUUUUUUUAAUUUCAGGGAGAAGAAGUGGUCAGUUUCAAUCCGGAAUUGGAAUAUGGCAAUUUGGUUCAAGCACACACACCUGGUCACUUGGUCAGUGAACCUGAACUUUACGCAGUUUUUUCAACUCAGUGAUUUUUGGAACGCAUAUUGGUGUAAGGAAAUCAAUAGAAAUUUAUGCAUAGUCAAAUUCUGAUAUUUGCUAUAAUAUUAUACAUUCUAAAGUUUCUCCAGUUUGUUCUCAGAUUACCAUCAUUUUUUGCCUUCACCAAAAAAAAAUCGAGUGGCUUUCCAGUGGAUAUUUAAUCGGAGGUAUGACUGGAUUUUUUUCACUUCUGUAAAUCUUGCAUUUUAAACUGGCAAAUUUAACUUUAAUUUUAAUACGACUUGUUUGAGGGAAAUACUCCGACGAGACCAGACGUGAUGAGCAGAUGUUUGGUGGCAGAAGUCUGCGAGCAGGUGUGUCCUGUAAGAGCCAGGUAGCAGGGAAACAGGGGCAGAAAUAUCCUGCUCAUCCACGAGCAUGUCAUCCGCGAGGCCAAUUUCCUGUAAGAAACAUAAAGCCAUUCCUGCUGUAUUCUUGCUAAGGGUUGAUUCGAGGAGACCCGGUCAACGACAGUUGGCGAGGCAUGCUCUCCAGCCCGAGAAUCUAGGCACGAAGGCCACGCAACCACCCACGACUACGGAAAUGGGGAAUCCACGUUCGAGAGGUGGGAGGAUAACAGACGUAGACUGCGGAAAACUGGGAUUCAGAGGAAGCCUAUAAAAAGGUAGCCAACGAAGGUAAAAGGGUUAGCAAUUUUGAUUCUAAAAGAGAGAAAACAACCUAACAACCAUAAGAUUUUUGGCAAGCGUUCCCCGAACCUUCAUAUCUGACUUGAGCGUCGGAGGGUUUGCGCCGGGAAAACAACCGGCGUACUCUGACCUGUCUGUGUGCGCAGGAACCUCUGGAGAAGAAGCUUUACGAGGAGAGAUCCUGGUCGUGGUGAAGUUGAUCGAGCAGAGACCCUGGUCGUAGAACGAGGAGAACCAGAAUCUCGCAUCAACACGACUUUGUUGGUGCCUUGUGUUCCAGAAACUAGAAUGAUGUGUAGUUUUCAGAUUAAGGGGCUUGUAAAUUCUCUAGUAAGAAUCCAAUAAUUUGCUUUUGCACAUUCAUUUUAUUUGUGGAUCCUUGCAUCUGAAUUUGAUCAAUCCAAAAGGAAUUGCUUUUAGACAGAAGAAGAAUUGCAGUACCUAGCCUACGACAUAGUAAAUGGACCUGCAAACCUGUAACUAUUAGUUUGAGGUAAAAAAUUCAUGACCCUCACAUGUUAACUUCUUCUAGUUACUUUCAUCAAAAACACAUUUAAGAAAUUUGCAAUUUUUUGUUAGUUUUGUAUACCGAUGUUGUUUUCUGUUUUAGCAUUUGUAUAAUCUACUGUAUUAUAUUUUGGCGGUUGCAGUAUCUGAGGUAUCUUUUGCAUUUAACUUGCUUUAUUUGUUUUGCUUGUGACUUAAGAACACCAAUAUUUGCCAGAGAUUUAGAGAAGCAUAUCAAGAUGCUUGGCAAACUUGACAAACUUCAAGAUCCUUCAUUCUUCACGACCCAAAACUUGUGAGUACACUUAUGCCCGCAAUUAUUGUGAAACGCUUGCAAUUUUGAUGCAGCGAAAUGGUUUGUUGAUGCAAAGGUUUAAACUUUUAAGAUUUACACUGCAGGGUAGUUGGAUGCUGUAUAGUCGAACGGCCACCAACAUCAAGAACUAUAACUCCAAGACCGGGUUUGCAUUAAUUCAAUCAGCUGAAAUAAUGAUGCAAAUGACACUAUCAGCUGGACUUAGAGACCAGUCAGAUCAAUCAUCCUUUUAUCAACAGUUAAUGUCAUGAUGGUGUCUAUCGGAGGAAACAAAGGAUGUGUCGGAAUCAAUAUGAACAGUGAGAAGAAUGAGAGGAGCUUUGAUUAUAAGUAGGCUCAAUGAACUCAUGCUGGUAAGUGGUAAUUAAAGAAAUUUGUGCGCUUAGUAGCAUUCAAUAUUUUCUGUUUGGGAUAUAGUUGAUGAGUUGAUACUCUGAUUAAGAAGCCUGAUUAUAGUAGCUGACUUUUUUUUUGUGGUUUGCUGUUGUUUAUUCUUUCGAUUAAUUUCAACAUUAGGUUGAUCUGUUGAAGAACAAACUUGGGUUUGAUUAUGCUUUAACUACAAGGAAGAGCCAGACUUGGAUGCAGGCGUUCAGCUUUUAAUGGGUAAGAACAAAUGUAUGCUUUAACCAUGUUUCUCACUUAUUACAAUGCACACAUUGAAGGCAUCUGAGCUGAUCCUGAAAAUGUGAUGGAAAUACUUCUCUGUUUACAUAAAACAGACAAAUAGAGAUCUCUGAUCAUGCCUGAGAAUUCGUUGCAUUUAAAAUUUCUACCAUUGCCAAAAAUAGAAUAAACUACGGAUACAUUAGCUUAAGACUCAAUUUUGAGAAGGAAGUUUGCACAUGCAGCCUAAAAAAUCACGUCCGUGUUGUAUACUUGUAUGUUUCUUUGGGAAAUGAAAGAUUCUGUGUUCUUUUAUUUCAAGUUUGCUGAAAUCACAUUUGUUUUCUUAGAUGCUUUUGGGAAGGUAACAACAUCAAUUUCAUAAAUGCUGGGGUAAGAUGCAUCACGCAGUGCUACUCAACAUGAGAAUUCCCGGCCGCAUUACCUGUAUGUUGAGUGAUCGCACAGUACAACCUUUAGAAGCUUGUAAGGAGUAGACAACUAGAUGCGAAUAGUUUCAAUAUGGAUUCGCAUCAAAUGAUCUCUUGCCAGUGAUUACUAUAACCUCUAUCCCAAAAUUCUUGGAACUGGUCAUACCAAUAAUGAAGUAUUGUGUACGUUGAAGACGUAGCUCAAGGCCUUGCGAAAGCUCCGUCAGCCUUUGUAUUGGAAAACAGUUGGUUGUAGUUGCUUCUGAAUGAUAUUAUUAAUAGAUACUGUAAAAAUGAAGUGUGCCACUCAUUUUCAGAGCCCUGUUAAGAUGUGUUGGUAAUGUGUUUGAAGGUUGUUUGAUUUGUGUUGUAUUCAGCUAUAAAUCAAAGAUUCAGAACAUGGUUAUGUUACUGGUUUCCAAAUAAAAAAAUUGCCUUGUGAUGUUAGUGUUCAUUGUUUUCACAGGAGAUCAGGUUCCCUGUUGAUGAAUCAAGAAGGCAAACGCAUCCAUGCCUUAAGUUCAAAUGUGUCUCUUCUAUUUUCUAUUACUGACUCCUUUAUUUUGAUUUCUUCAUUGUAAUGGAAUUGGUUUUCAUUCCAAAUUAGUCAAAACCUCCUAGAGUCAUUAAGUUCUGUUAGCAUUUGAAGAUAGAACUAGAACUAAAUGAUUGACUGGAUUAAAUUCCGAUAAAGAAUUAAGUUAUGUAUUUAGAGAUAUUUUGUUUUUUUUUUCAUUUGUUCAAUUUGGUUAGUGGUGAUUUCUUAAAGACUCAAUCCAUGUGCGUUUAUGCAUUUUUCUUUUGCCUUAAUUUCUGUUUCUUGGGGAGUUUAUACAGAUUCUUAUUUUAUGCUUCACAUGCCACAUGAAAGAUCGAAGCAUUUUGUGUGAUUAGAACUGACUUGCAUCACAGUAACUUUAAACCACUGCCACAUUUUUAUAAUAACAGUCUGAGAUCUCCCUGAAGGAUUCAAAGCAUUUUAUUUUAUAUUAACCUCCUUUAAGUGGGUUUCGACACUACCACAAGUUCUUUAAAUACUAAAACGAUUUUGAGUCUUUUGUAUCAUCUGAUUGAAAUACCUGAAAGCACUCGUGGCUGCAAAAAUAUAUCGAUUUUGAGUAUGGCGUGCAUGUAAAUUAUAUCGAUUUUUUCUAUAUGACAAGUAAGACUCUCUUUUACAAUGGCACGGAUGCGUCAUUGAGUAAUCAUGAUUCUUGCUGGUAGUGCUUUGUUGUAUCAAUCUGCUAGCUAUUCAGCUUUCUUUCUUUCUUUCUUCUUUUUUUUUUUUUUUUUUUGUUUUCAAAUAGCUUGUGGUUGUAGAAAUAUUUCAAUUAAACUAUACUUAAGUACUUAUUUAGUAUAACUUCUUUACUAGCCAAAAUAAUUUUUUUUUGGUUUUUUAUAAUUUAAUUAUACUUUAACUAGAGUUUUUGGGAUUAAACAAGUGAUAAUUUCUCUCUAUUAAGAAAAACUCAAAAUUUUUUAAUUACUAGAAUGCGUCUAAAUUAAAUUACAAUUAUAGACACUAAAAUAUAGUAAAUUUUUUUUUUUACUCUUUAAAACUGUCUUUACAUUCGAUAUCAUAUUUUUUUCUUAAAAUCUAAAUUGAUAUUUUUAUUUUAUUUUUGAUUAAUCUUAGAACACAUAUAAAGUGAUUCAUAUUGAUUUUAUACUAACAAACUAUCAUAGCACAUUCGAAAAUAAUUAACUCGUUCUUAUUUGCAUAGUGAAAAAGGCAAAUAGCUCACCCAAAUGUUAAGGAACUGGAGAGCUGCUGCUGGAGACGAAAGGAUGUGAAAAGCAUGGUAAAGAAAAAUUGCAUAAUUCUCACUUAGAAGAGGAAGAAAAAAAAAAUACAAUUAGAAUGAGAGGUAGCCAGUAGCCAGUAGCCGCCACCACCACCAGUCAAACUAUUUCGACACACUAAUACUGUAAUACAUAUCAAAAUGCAAUAUCGGUCCUAACAAAAUGAAAAUAAAAAUUCAUUACGAAUAUGUGUUAAAGAUAUCCCAAGUAUUGAUGUGAUUGAAAUAUUUGAGAUUGAAGUAGAAAUAAGACUCAAAAUCAAUUGAGAGGAAUAAAUGAGAAACUCUAAUACUAAUAAAAUAUAUUCACAAAUCCUAAUGCUAAUUAAAAUCACGGAUUAAAAAAAAUAAUAUGAAUGAAUUACAGGCGCAACUGUUUCAUUAAAAAAUUAAUAAAAUCGUGUAUUAAUAUUUUGUACACAUACAUUUUUCCAUAUAUAACUUUUGGUAAUUUAGUUUUCCACUUAUCAUUUUUACUCCAAAAAAAUAAUUGAGAAUAUUAUUUAUGUUUUGGUGCAAAAUAUUUAAACAACAUAAAAAUUUUCAGUUUAAUAAAUCUAAACAAUUCUCAAGUUAUAAAUGAAUUUAAUGGGUUUAAUUAGUAAAAAUACUAUUAUUUUAUAAAUUGGGUUUAGUAAUGGUAUAUUGGGUAUUUAAAUGGGUUUGUUGAGUAAAUUUUAAAAUUUUAAAGUUCAAGGGUAGGUUUAUUUAGUAAAUGGGUUAAUGCAGCAAUUUUCAAACUAAAUUUUUGGAAAAAGAGGCUAUUGAGUUUUUUUUAAGAAAAAGAAUUAAAAUGUUGAGAAUACCUUUAUUUAAUUUUAUAAUCUAAUUUUAAAAAAUUUACCCAAUAAAUUUUAUAAUUUUUUAUAAAAAUUAUCAUUAACAUCCAAACAGCUGAAGAUUAAAAAAAAAAAAAGAAGGGAACUGUACUAGCAAAAGUUAGAUUAACAAUAAAUUUAGUCCAAAGAAUAAAGUUAUAGCUAAAAAGUGCUCCUAUCCUAUUUUUCUCUAUUUUAACAAUAAUCUUCCAAUCCAUUUUACAAUGGACUUAACAAAUGGGCUCAAUCUCUAAACUUCAUUUUCUUUUGCUAACCCAUGGCCAUUAGCCAGAAAGCCUAAAACAAUUUUAGGAUCACAUGUGUAAAUGGAACCCCAAGAUUGAUCAAGAAUUAACAAGACAAGAUGAAGAGAUGAUCUUGUAACUAAGAAUGAAGAAAUUGAAUCAAGACAGUACUCUAGUAAAACCCAGAAAACAGAGCUUGAAGAAUCACGCACAAAGCAGUAAAUUUGUAAAACCAGAAUUGGAGCUUCACUUCUCAAGAUAGACGAAACAGGAUACAAUCUAGCUUUGGUCAACUUCGUUUGGCCACGUCAUAAAGUCUUCCCCCACAGUCUUUCCCGCCAAAACAGAAAAGCUUUAAAAGCCAUUUACCCUCCUGAGUUACUUGCUCCUAUUACAUCAAGGCCCUGUAAGUCUAUAUUUAUUAUUACAAAAGCACCCUUAAACCGAGAUUUGAGAUAUUUUUUCAAAGAUCGAAGCGCAUGAUUUCACGGCUAUGUUGCAUAGUGAAUUUUAGUGCUUUACAGUUAAGGGAUAGUUUAAAUUCAUUACAAAGCAUUCGCAAAGAAAUUGUUUUUAAAUGAAACUCCUCGUCUUGACCAGAUUAUUUAUUAUUAUUAAAAAAAAAAUGUUCAAAACUUAGCCAAAGUGAUAAACUCGUAAUUAUUCUACAAAGGGAACAAUUUUGAACGGUGGGAAAUUCCAUAAUUAUGCUUUUCUGUGAAUUAUUUUAAAUAAAAUUAUAAAAAUUAAUAUAAAAUUAUAAUAAUGAUAGAGCCACAAACUCUUGUACAAAUUUAUUUUAUACAAACUCAUGUGGCAUGAUAAGAUUGGUUGAAUUAAAUAUUACUUGGCCCACAUGAUUUGUUUUUAUUAUUUUAUAUUUUUAUUCAACCAAUAAAUUAAUACCACGUCAGUUUGUACAAAAUAAAUUUAUACAAAAAUUUGUGACUCGAUCAUCACUCAUAAAAUUAAUACCCGGUAAAGACUGUAGAGAGACAAGUGCCCCCAACAGAAUCAAGUGAAUAUGCCCCACAAAGAUCACAUGAUCAUUUCUGUUCUUUUUCUUUUUGAUAAUUUUAUCUGUGGUUUCAACUUUUAUGCUUUAUUGUCGUAUCCCGUUGAGGGCUCCGCUGCACCCAUUACAACUUACCCCUAAAUUGCCUCUUACUAACUAAACCGUUAGAUUUUAUGGAAGCACGUUCAAUGUUGAAUUUUAAUUAUGUCAUCGAAUUUCGUUUAGCUCCUUAAACUCCAUUUUAUUUGUAAUUUCUUCAUAAAAUAUUCAAAGCUUCAUCAAGCUCCUGAUGGACCAUCAUGGCUAGGGGUGCAUUAGAGCCGAACUGAAAUAUGUUAGUUCAGUUCAGUUUGGUCAGUUUAAAUCGAAUGGUUUAGAAUAUAUAAACUGAUCAAUUUUAAUUUUGAAUUGAACCGAACCGAAAAUCAAUUGGUUCACUAUUAGUAUUUUUGUAUAAACAAGAAUGAUUAGUGAUUAUAAUUAAAUUGGACUAAAAAAAAUUCAAACUAAGGUGAAAAAUAUCAAAUCUUAGACAAUAUAAAAAAAAAUAUUAAAUUUUUUUAACCGAAACGAACCGAAUUAUUUUGACUCAGUUUGGUUCAUAAUUUUUUAAACCAAACUGAUUUAUUCCCACCCCCUAAUCGUGGCUCUCUAUCUUUAGUCAUUCACCCUUGAGUUUGAUGCCAAUUGUUGGGUUUCAAAUGAUUAUACACUCAAAUGGAACCCUCAUAACAAAAAACUAACAGAAACAAUAAGAACACGAUGUUAAAAUCUUAAAUCAAUCGCAAAAAAGCACCCAAAACAGAUCGAUUAGGAACAGUUAAGAACAAAAGAUUUGAUGGUUCAAAAUCAUAAUGUGACCUACGUACUUUCAUCCAAGAAUCAUACUAAUUGCUUUACUAGUUGUCAAACUCAAGAUCACAAGAUUGUUUAUCACUCUACAUAAAAAUUUUUUUUAGAAGAAAUACUCCCCAAUUUUUCUCUUAAUAGUUAUGAAUCAACACCCCUAGGAAGCCUGUUGAUUUACUUUUCCUUAUUUCCUAUGAUCGGUUGCUGCAACUUAAUCCUUGCCAAGCUCCAACAUAGUCCAAACACUUUUAACGGUACAGGCAUAGUGCACCUUCAGAAACUUUACAGCUCCUCUUAAAACCUCAGGCAUCGUAAGCACAUUAAGCAGCCGACAACACUCUUCUUCAUUUCUUCAUUGUCAAUUUCCUUCUUGGAACAUUGCUCCAUUGAGAGUCUGCUAGAAUUGCUCCAAUUAUUAUUAUUAUUUAAAAAAAAAAGAAAACCCUGCAAUAAGAGUAUAAGACUAAGCAACGGUCCUUUUUUUUUCCCCAUUCUUGAACCUAAAGUAUUUGAGUAUGCAAAUUAAUAAAUAAAUUCAUUUAUUUUUAUUAAAAUUUUGUAAAAUUAUAAUUUUUAAUAAAAAUAAUUAUUAAAAUUUUGUAAAAUCUAAAUUUAGAAAAAUUCAGUUGGGCACCUCUAUUUGAGAUUUAUUUUUUAUUAAAUUUAGGGAUAUUUUUAUAAUUAUAAUUUUUAAUUUUAAAAGUUUUUAUAAGAUAAAAUAGUCUUUUAAUUUAUUUAGGGGGUAAAAUUGGUGUUUUAUUAAAAUUAUUUAAUUGUGUUAAUGCAAAAGUGGCUAUUUGAUACAAAUGUGAAAAGAAAGGUGGUGCAAAAUAUAUGUUAAAAUUUUAUAUUGGUUGGAUGAACAUAAGCUAAAAUAAAGGUGGUGCAAUGAUAAUUUCCCUAUCCUAAAACUUAAUUGACUUAAUUCUUACGGUGCAAGGAAGAGGUUUCCAAGUUUAAAUCUAAAGGCUUGUAUUUAAUUUGGGGUUGGGAAAGCACUGAGAAAUAAAUGUAACUAAGGAAAAAAAAAAAGUCACGCAGUCCAAAUAAGUAGAUAUAUUUAAUAUGAGGUGGGGAUGGGUGAACUGUAAUUCAGAAAAAAAUAAAAUAAAAUUUUAUAUAAAGUUGAGGGUGUGUUUUAAUGGUUUCUUAUGCUGCGUUUAUUUUUUGGACUAGAGUGAGAAUUCUAAAAAGUGAGAAUCCUAUGAUUAGGUGUGUGGAGUGGGAGUGGGAGUAUGGUAUUUACUUAGACUAAAUAAAAGUAUGGAUUGUCAAUCAGAAUCUCAAUUAUUUGUUACUUUGUCUUGGAUUGAGAGUAAAUUAUUUUAAAUUACAAUUUUAUCCUUAUGUAAAGAAUUAUAAUUUGUAAUUAAAAAAUUAAUAAAAAUAUAUUGGAAAAUAAAAUAAAUAUUUUAUUAUAUUUAUAAAAUAAUAAUAAUUAAUAAAAUUCUUAAUUAUGUAAAUCAUAAUUUUUUAUUAAUUUAAAUUUAAAUUAUGUGAAUAAAAUUAUUAAUAAUAGCAACACAAAUGAAACAUUAUUAUUAAUAAUAUAGUAUAAAAUUAAUAUUUUUUUAGAAUAAAAUAUUUAUUAUUAUUAAAUAAAUAAAUAAUAUUUAUUAAAAUUAAUGUUUAAUAUUAUUAAUUUAAAUAUAAUAUUUAUUUAUUUUUAUUUUAUUUUAUUAAAUUUAAUAAAAUAAAUAUGUUAUAAUUAUUAUUUUUAAUAAAUAUGAUAUUAUUUAUUUUAUUAAAUAUUAUUUAUUUAUUUUAAUUAUGAGGGUAAAAAUGGAAGAGGGGGAGUGGAUUCCCACUCCCACCUCCCCCCAUGGGAGUGGGAAUCCCACUCUCCCCUUAAAAAUGGUAAGUAAAUAUUAGAAUGGGAAGAAUCUACACUCUACACUUUCUAGAAAAUAAACACUACCUUUAUUUAAAUCGAUUUGUUGGAUAUUUAGCUAAAAUGAGAGUAGCUCUCUAAUAAUUAUUGCAUUAUUACAAACAUAUCCAACGGUUAUAAUAGCGCGCUGAAUCAAUGCUUCAGAAGGAUGACAGUCUGAGUGAAAAGGAAAUAAACGCUUUCAAUUGAAUUACUACCACUACACUCCAAUACUCUAUUAUUGUUUGUGUGCUUGCUUGUGGACCUUUUUACUUCUUACUAUCAUUAUUGAAUUCCAUUUCCAAAUUUUCAGCAUACUUUUGCUUUCUUUCAGUAUCUUCAGUUUCUCUUUUGCUUGCUAUCAAUUCAGUUUUCUUCUUGUGAAGAUCGAACGGAACCAUGGUUGCUGUGGGAGAGAUCUUACUCAACGCCUUCUUUCAGGUGUUGUUUGACAGGUUGGCUUCCCGUGAUUUGCUCAGCUUUGUCCGUCAACUUGGAGGCGGGGACGAUUCCGAGCUCAAGAAGUGGGAAAGAAAGCUGAAGAUGAUUCAGGCGGUGCUCAACGAUGCAGAGGAGAAGCAACUGACCGACGAGGCCGUGAAGAUGUGGCUGGACGAUCUCCAAGACUUGGCUUAUGACGCUGAGGACAUUCUUGAGGAGUUUGCUACUCAAGCUUUGGAAAGCAAGUUGAUGGCGAAAAAUCAGGAUCGCAUUGGCCAGGUUCUUAGUUUCAUACCGGCUAGUUUGAAUCCGAAUGCUAUUAUGUCCAAUUAUAGCAUGGGAUCCAAGAUUAAAGAUAUUACUAGCCGGUUGGAGCAACUCUGCCAAGAUAGAAUUGAACUUGGGCUGCAACGGAUUGCUGGAGGGGCAUCAUCAACUACUUCUGCUGCACAUCAGAGGCGAGACAGUUCGAGUGUCCCAACAGAACGUGAAGUAUUUGGAAGAGAAGAAGAUAAGGCCAAAAUUCUUGAUAUGGUAUUGACCGAUACCCCAAGUGAUCGUGCCAACUUUGUUGUAAUACCCAUUGUUGGCAUGGGCGGGAUAGGAAAAACAACUCUUGCCCGGGAGGUCUACAAUGACAAGGCCGUUGAAGAUUCCAAGUUUGAUGUAAAAGCAUGGGUUUGUGUCUCUGAUGUCUUUGAUAUUUUGGGCAUCUCAAAGGCACUUCUCCAGUCAAUCACCUCCGCAGCUAGUGAUCUCAAGACUUUAAAUGAGGUGCAGGUUCAACUGAAAAAAGCAGUUGACGGAAAAAGAUUCUUGCUGGUCUUAGAUGAUGUUUGGAACGAGAACUACAACUUGUGGGAAGACUUAAAAGCUCCGUUCCUGGAUGCUGCACCAAACAGCAAGAUGAUCGUCACCACACGCAAUUCAAGUGUUGCAUCAACAAUGAGACCCAUUGAACAUUUCAAUCUCAAGAGUCUGUUGGAUGACGAUUGCUGGUCCAUUUUUAUAAAGCAUGCAGUUGAAGGUGGAGAUCUUAACGAGGAUCAAAUUUCAGAAUCAUUCCGCAAGAAAGUUGUUGGCAAGUGUGGAGGCUUGCCUCUGGCAGCAAAAACUCUCGGGGGCCUUCUGCGUACGACGAGGCAUGAUGGGUGGGAUGGUAUAUUGGAUAGCAAAAUAUGGGAAUUACAUCAACAUAGCAGCAUUCUCCCUGUGUUAAGAUUGAGUUACCAUCAUCUUCCGUCUCAUUUGAAAAGAUGUUUUGCUUUUUGUGCCAUCUUUCCAAAAGAUUAUGAAUUCACUGAGAAGGAGCUGACUUUCUUAUGGAUGGCUGGAGGUAUUAUUCGACAGUCAAGAAACAAUGAGCAGCUGGAAGAUUUGGGCAGCAAGUGCUUUGGUGAUCUAGUGUCAAGGUCAAUUUUUCAACAAACAGCAAUCUCUGAUAGUUCUAAAUUUGUAAUGCACGACCUUAUCCAUGAUCUUGCUGAAUUGGUCUCUGGAGGAACCAUAUUUAGGUCAGAGGAGGCCAAUACUCUAUCAAGAAGAUUUGAAAGGGUUCGCCAUUCUUCCUAUACCCGUGAUUGGUAUGAUGGUAAAAAUAAGUUCGAGGUUUUCAAUGAAAUUGAACAUCUACGAACAUUCUUGCCGUUAAGAGGUAACUAUUGUACUAGUUACAUAACUCGACCGAUUCUAUCUGAUAUGCUGCCAAAGUUCAAAAGGUUGAGAACGCUAUCUUUACAAGGAUACUGUAUUGGUGAGUUACCAAUUCCAUUUGAAGAUUUGAGACUUUUAAGGUUCCUCAACCUUGCUGACACUGACAUAAGAAGUUUACCUGACUCAACAUGCAAAUUGCUGAACUUGGAAAUUCUGAUAUUAAGAAAUUGUUCCCGUUUGAUAAAGCUUCCGCAGAAAAUGAGGAAUUUGAUCAAUUUAUGCCAUCUGGAUAUAAGAGGUGCGAAGUUGCUGAAGGAGAUGCCAGUCGGAAUGAAAGAGCUGAAGAAGCUUCAAACAUUGUCCAAUUUUAUUGUAGGCAAGGGUGAAUCCGCAUCUGGUUUGGAAGAUUUAAAAAGUUUAAACCUUCUUUGUGAUGAACUUUGCAUUGCUGGAUUAGAGAAUGUGAAUAAUCCACAGAAUGCAAGAGAAGCCGCAUUAUGUGAGAAGCACAAUCUUGAAGCAUUGACUCUAACAUGGUGGCCUCAAUUUGACAGUCCUCGAGGUGUAGUAGUGGAAGAGAAUGUACUUGACGUUUUGCAGCCUCAUAAAUGUAUAAAAAAGGUGGCAAUCAGGAACUAUGGUGGUGCAAGAUUUCCACCUUGGAUAGGAGAUACUUUAUUCUCCAAGAUAGAGCUCCUUGAAUUGAAGAACUGUGACAAUUGUGUGUCUUUGCCAUCGCUUGGCCUAUUGAGUUCACUUAAACACCUUGCUGUUAAAGGGCUGAAGAAACUAAAAAGCAUAGAGUCUGAGGUUUAUGGGGAGGGUUUGUCAAUGCCUUUUCCAUCGUUGGAGGUUCUAAGUUUUGAGAAUUUGCCUGAAUGGGAGUAUUGGGACACCAAUAUCAGAGGAAAUGUGCUCGUUGAAAUGUUUCCUCGUCUCCAUAAACUUUCCAUUGUGGAAUGUCCAAAACUCUCUGGGGAACUGCCUGAGCUCCUGCCCUCCUUGGAGACACUUGUUGUUAUUAAAUGUGAAAAUUUGGUAGUUCCAUUGUCUCGCUAUCCGAUGCUCUGCAGAUUAGAAGUUGAUGAGUGCAAGGAACUAGCGUGCGGGACUCCAAUUGAUUUCAAGUUGAUAAAGUCUGUGACUAUUUCAAAUAGUUCCUUAGACAUGGAUGGAUGCAAGGGGAUGCUAUACGAUGGUCCAGCUAGCUCUUCACUGCCAAAGCCCACGAUUACUACAAAUGUUUUGGAGUUUGGAAAAUUAUUGAAGCCUGGAUUUCAGAUAUUAGAAACGUUGGUAAUUGGCAAUUCUGAACAGCUCAAGUCAUGGAGGCAGCAUGGGGAUUUUCUAGAAGAAUAUAUGGUCGCUCGCCAAAGGUUUAAGAAACCAGUACAAGGGCUGAAUAUGCUCGCUUCCCCUGAAGAGGUAACAAUUGAAGAAAGUUGCGUACGUCUUGUUUUGUUUCCAGAGAUCAAUUUCUUUCCCAGAAAUCUGCGCUCUCUUCUAAUUAACAACAACACUGCUUUCAAAUCCUUACCCGAGGAAAUGAUGGAAAACAAUUCACAACUCGAAAGGUUGUAUAUCAGAGAUUGCGACUCUCUAACAUUCAUCGCAAGACGGAGGCUACCAGCAUCUCUUAAAAGGCUUGAGAUAGAAAAUUGUGAGAAAUUGCAACGUCUGUUCGAUGAUGAAGAGGAUGCUUCUUCUUCUUCUUCUCCUUCAUCCUCGUCUUCCCCAGUGAUGCUGCAACGCCUGAAUAUAAAGAACUGCCCAGAGCUCACCAGUUUAUCAUCGGGUGUCCAAUUCCUUGAGGCGCUUGAAGGCCUCGAGAUAUGGGAUUGUCCAAAGCUGGAGUCAAUACCGGAUGGCCUGCACAAUCUUAAAUGUUUACAGAGCAUUCAUAUAGAUGGAUGUCCAAGUCUUGUUUCCUUGCCCAAUGACAUGCACAAACUGAACUCUCUUCGAGAUUUAAACAUACGGGCGUGUCCAAUAUCGUUUCCAGAAGAAGGUUGUCCUACCAAUCUAACAUCACUUACACUUGGAUAUGUCGAAAUGUAUAAGACACUCGUCCAGUGGGGGUUGCACAGGCUUACCUCUCUUAGAAGCCUCGACAUUUUUGGAUGUGAUGAUGAAGCAGAGUGUUUUCCAGACGAGGAGAUAGGAAUGACGCUGCCCACCUCUCUCACUCAUCUGCACCUUUUUGAUUUCGAAAAAUUGAGAUCUCUGUCUUCGACGGGUUUUCAGAGCCUCACCUCUCUUCAAUCUUUGGAUAUCUGGUUUUGCCCAAAUCUCACAUCAUUCCCAAAGGUGGGCUUUCCAUCCUCACUUGUGGAAUUACGCAUUAGAGAUUGUCCAAAGCUUAAAAAAGCGUGCAAAAGAGAUCAAGGAAAAGAGUGGCCCAAAAUUGCUCACAUCCCUUGCGUUGAGAUAGACGAUAAAUUCAUAUACCAUCCAAAAUCAGAGGUGUAGAGUGUAUUAUUAAGGUCAGUUGAUUUAUGUUAUCCACCAUAACAAGCUCCUCCUUUUUUUUUAAAUAAUAAUUUUGCAGUCACUCGCGUGAUUCCGUUUUCACAAGUCAGAUUGUAUGUUGAGGCUAUUUGCCUUUUAAUCGCAGAUUAAAUUAUAACACUUAUCUUAAAAUUUAAUACCAUAGACAGAUAGACGAUUUUUUAAUCCAAAGUUUUUUUAUUCACUUCAGUUAGCAUUUUUUUUUUCCCCAAAUCAUGCAAGCCGAGAGUUUCAAUCAACAGAAUUUUAUUCACUCAUUGACUUUUCAACUGCUGUGGUUAUUUAUGGGUGAAAGAUAAAUUUCUUAGAUGGUAGAUAUAUCGACAUUUUAGAUUUCAGAUAUUUGUCACCAAUUUCAUUCCUUUUUUUAAAAUUUUUUUUAAGCAAGUUUGACUAAUUUUAACCAGAAUUGGAGUAUAAUAUUUUGGAGCAAGCAUACUUGAAAUUUCUGUCUUCAAUUUUUUUGAUGCUUUUUUAAUUUUGAUCUAGUAAAAAUACAUAGCCUUCACCGGCAGGAUUCUAGUCUUGGCUUUCACCUCUCUAACUCAUCUGUCCCUAUUGGGAUUCCAGAAAUUUAAAUUUCUGUCUUCAAUGGGUUUUCAAAGCCUCACCUCUCUUCGAUUUUUGUGGAUUGGGAAUUGCACAAAUCUCACAUCAUUUCCCGAGGUCGAGGAAAAGAGCGGCCCAAACUAUCAGCGGUGUUGAUUCUCUUAUUAAGGUCAGCUGAUUUCUAUUAUCCACUCUGACAAUCUCCUAUUAGUGUUUUUUUUUUAAAAAAUUUGCAGUUCUGUAUAAUUGAAAUGCCACUCACUUGUUUCCUUCUUCACAGGUCAGAUAGUAUGUUAAAGCUAUUAGUGCUGCCUCAUAGGUUGAUUACUCACAGAUGAAAUCAUAACUUUUAUCUUAAAAUUUAAUAGCAUACACAGAUAGACGAUUUUUAGUCCAAAGUUUUUUUUAUUCACUUCAAUCAAAAUUUUAGAUUGCAGAUUUUUGUCGAGUAUUUUCAUUCCAAUUUUUUCAUUUUUUAUUUUAAACCAGAAUUGGAGUAUAAAAUUUUGGAGCGCGCAUACUCUGAUGCAUGCAAUUAACUGUUUUUAAUCGUUGGAUUUUGAAAUUAAUGAUGGUAAGAUGUGUACUUAUUCUUUCUUCCAACAACCUUGCCUUCUUUCUUCGGUCGCAUAUCUAAUGAAUAUUUCUCUGUUUAGUUAAGGAUGAAUGCUUGGAGUGGGGUACUUGGUAACAUUUCUGCCUUAGAUGAAUCCUUGAAGAAAUGCCCGCAGUUCCUGAGACCAAAUACAGGUCUGAUUCAAAACAGCACCUUUCCCAGAAAAUAUGAUCCAAGGCAAAGUCAUGUUCUGAUAAUGUUUCCUUAAGUACUAAGUUGCAAGGAAACUUGAUUCAUUAACUACAGUUUUUUAUUUUUAGGACCUUGUAUCUGAAAGGUUCAGUGUUUUUUUUUUUCAAAUUUAUUGUUCAGAUCUCAGAGGAGUAUAUGGUUUAGAUUACAAAACACCCAUGAUUAAUUUCAUUUUUUUUUUAAUUUCAGGGAGAAGAAGUGGUCAGUUUCAAUCCGGAAUUGGAAUAUGGCAAUUUGGUUCAAGCAAACACACCUGGUCACUUGGUCAGUGGUCACUUGGUCAGCGAACCUGAACUUUACGCAGUUUUUUCAACUCAGUGAUUUUUGGAACGCAUAUUGGUGUAAGGAAAUCAAAAGAAAUUUAUGCAUUGUCAAAUUCUGAUAUUUGCUAUAUAUUAUACAUUCUAAAGUUUCUCCAGUUUGUUCUCAGAUUACCAUCAUUUUUUGCUUUCACCAACCAAACAAAAACAAAAUGAGUGGCUUUCCGGUGGAUAUUUAAUCGGAGGUAUGACUGGAUUUUUUUCACUUCUGUAAAUCUUGCAUUUUAAACUGGCAAAUUUAACUUUAAUUUUAAUAGGACUUUGUUGGUACCUUGUGUUCCAGAAACUAGAAAGAUGUGUAGUUUUCAGAUAAAGGGGCUUGUAAAUUCUCUAGUAAGAAUCCAAUAAUUUGCUUUUGCACGUUCAUUUUAUUUGUGGAUCCUUGCAUCUGAAUUUGAUCAAUCCAAAAGGAAUUGCUUUUAGACAGAAGAAGAAUAGCAGUACCUAGCCUAUGACAUAGUAUAUGGACCUGCAAACCUGAAACUAUUAGUUUGAGGUAAAAAAUUCAUGACCCUCACAUGUUAACUUCUUCUAGUUACUUUCAUGAAAAACACAUUUAAGAAAUUUGCAAUUUUUUGUUAGUUUCGUAUCCGAUGUUGUUUUCUGUUUUAGCAUUUGUAGAAUCUACUGUAUUAUAUUUUGGCAGUUGCAGUAUCUGAGGUAUGUUUUGCAUUUAACUUGCUUUGUUUGUUUUGCUUGUGACUUAAGAACACCAAUAUUUGCCAGAGAUUUAGAGAAGCAUAUCAAGAUGCUUGGCAAACUUGACAAACUUCAAGAUCCUCCAUUCUUCACAACGCAAAACUUGUGAGUACACCUAUGCCCGCAAUUAUUGUGAAAUGCUUGCAAUUUUGAUGCACUGAAAUGGUUUGUUGAUGCAAAGGUUUAAACUUUUAAGAUUCACCCUGCAGGGUAGUUGGAUGCUGUAUAAUCGAAAAGCGACCAACAUCAAGAAUUAUGACUCCAAGACCGGGUUUGCAUUAAUUCAAUCAGCUGAAAUCAUGAUGCAAAUGACACUAUCAGCUGGACUUAGAGACCAGUCAGAUCAAUCAUCCUUUUAUCAACAGUUAAUGUCAUGAUGGUGGCUAUCGGAGGAAACAAAGGAUGUGUCGGAAUCAAUAUGAACAGUGAGAAGAAUGAGAGGAGCUUUGAUUACAAGUAGGCUCAAUGAACUCAUGCUGGUAAGUGGUAAUUAAAGAAAUUUGUACGCUUAGUAGAGUUUCAAUAUUUUCUGUUUGGGAUAUAGUUGAUAAUUUGAUACUCUGAUUAAGAAGCCUGAUUAUAGUAGCUGACUUUUUUUUUGUGGUUUGCUGUUGUUUAUUCUUUCGAUUAAUUUCAACAUUAGGUUGAUCUGUUGAAGAACAAACUUGGGUUUGAUUAUGCUUUAACUACAAGGAAGAGCCAGGCUUGGAUGCAGGCGUUCAGCUUUUAAUGGGUAAGAACAUAUGUAUGCUUUAACCAUGUUUCUCACUUAUUACAAUGCAUGCAUUGAAGGCAUCUGAGCUGAUCCUGAAAAUGUGAUGGAAAUACUUCUCUGUUUACAUAAAACAGGACAAGAGAUCUCUGAUCAUGCCUGAGAAUUCGUUGCAUUUAAAAUUUCUACCAUUGCCAAAAAUAGAAUAAACUAGGGAUAGAUUAGCUUAAGACUCAAUUUUGAGAAGGAAGUUUGCACAUGCAGCCUAAAAAAUCAUGUCCGUGUUGUAUACUUGUAUGUUUCUUUGGGAAAUGAAAGAUUCUGUGUGUUCUUUUGUUUCAAGUUUGCUGAAAUCACAUUUGUUUUCUUAGAUGCUUUUGGGAAGGUAACAACAUCAAUUUCAUAAAUGCUGGGGUAAGAUGCAUCACGCAGUGCUACUCAACAUGAGAAUUCCCGGCCGCAUUACCUGUAUGUUGAGUGAUCGCACAGUACAACCUUUAGAAGCUUGUAAGGAGUAGACAACUAGAUGCGAAUAGUUUCAAUAUGGAUUCGCAUCAAAUGAUCUCUUGCCAGUGAUUACUAUAACCCCUAUCCCAAAAUUCUUGGCAUUGGUCAUACCAAUAAUGAAGUAUUGUGUACGUUGAAGACAUAGCUCAAGGCCUUGCGAAAGCUCCGUCAGCCUUUGUAUUGGAAAACAGUUGGUUGUAGUUGCUUCUGAGUGAUAUUAUUAAUAGAUACUGUAAAAAUGAACUGUGCCACUCAUUUUCAGAGCCCUGUUAAGAUGUGUUGGUAAUGUGUUUGAAGGUUGUUUGAUUUAUGUUGUAUUCAGCUACAAAUCAAAGAUUCAGAACAUGGUUAUGUUACUGGUUUCCAAAUCAAAAAAAUGCCUUGUGAUGUUAGUGUUCAUUUUUUUCACAGGAGAUCAGGUUCCCUGUUGAUGAAUCAAGAAGGCAAACGCAUCCAUGUCUUAAGUUCAAAUGUGUCUCUUCUAUUUUCUAUUACUGACUCCUUUAUUUUGAUUUCUUCAUUGUAAUGGAAUUGGUUUUUUAUUCCAAAUUAGUCAAAACCUCCUAGAGUCAUUAAGUUCUGUUAGCAUUUGAAGAUAGAACUAGAACUAAAUGAUUGACUGGAUUAAAUUCCGAUAAAGAAUUAAGUUAUAUAUUUAGAGAUAUUAUGUUUUUUUUUUUUUCAUUUGUUCAAUUUGGUUAGUGGUGAUUUCUUAAAGACUCAAUCCAUGUGCGUUUAUGCAUUUUUCUUUUGCCUUAAUUUCUGUUUCUUGGGGAGUUUAUACAGAUUCUUAUUUUAUGCUUCACAUGCCACAUGAAAGAUCGAAGCCUUUUGUGUGAUUAGAACUGACUUGCAUCACAGUAACUUUAAAUCACUGCGACAUUUUUAUAAUAACAGUCUGAGAUCUCCCUGCAGGAUUCAAAGCAUUUUAUUUUAUAUUAAACUCCUUUACGUGGGUUUGGACACUACCACAAGUUCUUUAAAUACUAAAACGAUUUUAAGUCUUUUGUAUCAUCUGAUUUAAAUACAUGAAAGCACUCGUGGCUGCAAAAAUACAGUUGGGGCUAUUUCUAAAGUCUUCAACAGCAUUUUCUUUUUAACCUUUAUCCUCAUGGUUGUUUUUGCAGUUGUUCUUUAAGAAAACAUUUAAAAGGUUCUCUUUAUGGAUUUUUGAAAAUAAUUUUAACAUGAGCAAUUUUCAGAAGCACUUUAGAUGUCUGGCAUUUAGGAAAUUUUAUUUCGGUGUCACAUAAAAUACUUAGGAAGUUAAAUUUAUUUAUUUAUGAGCAUGUGCCAGUGCCCAGUGGCAUCCUCUUCACUUGUGAUAGUCAAAUGUAUUAUACGAUACAAUAUUAGCUUGACUGUAGCACAGAGGAGAAUAGGGUUGGUGUUGGUCUGAACCAGCUUAUGUAACAGCUGCCAAAGGAUAAUUUAAUUGUACUUUGAGUAAAGCUUUUGCGAAUUAAACAAGUGAUAAUUUGUUUUUAUUAAGAAAAACUUAAGGAAUUAGGCUAUUUUAACUGACCAAAUUACACAUUAAAAAUUCAUUUACAAAAAUAGUUUUUAGUUAUUAAAAUAUUCCUAAAUUAAAUUAUAAUUAUGGACACUAAAAUAUUUUUUUUAUAUUUUACUCUUUGAAACUGUCUUUAUAUUCGAUAUUAUAUUUUUUUCUUAAACUCUAAAUUGAUUUUUUUUUUUGAUUAAUUUUAAAACACCUAUAAAGUGAUUCAUAUUGAUUUUAUACUAACAAACUAUUAUAGCACAUUCGAAAAAUAAUUAAAUCGUUCUUAUUUACAUAGUGAAAAUGCAAAUAGCUCGUUCAAAUGUUAAGGAAUUGGAGAGCUGCUGCUGGAGAUGAAAGAUGUGAAUUAAACAUCAGAAAAAAAAUUAUGUUUACUAUCUUGCCAGACCAAGCACCGAAAAGCAUCGUAAAGAAAAAUUAGAUAAUUUAGAAGAUAAAGCACGUGGAAUGGAGGCAGAAAGCAAGUAAUGAUAACUCUUUCGACAAACUAAUAUAUACCAAAAUGCAAUAUCAAAAAUGAAAAUAAAAAUUCAUUACGAAUACGUGUUAAAGAUAUCCCAAGUAUAGAUGUGACUGAAAUAUUUGAGAUUGAAGAAGAAUUAAGACUCAAAAUCAAUUGGGAGGAAUAAAUGAGAAACCUCAAUACCAAAAAAUACACGCGCAAAUCCUAAUACUAAUUGUAAUUGCAGAUAAAUAGCAUAAUACGAAUAAAUUCCAUGGGCAACUAUUUCAUUGAGAAAUUAAUUAAAUCGUGUAUUAAUAUUUUGUAUACAUAUAUUUUUCUAUAUAUGACUUUCGGUAAUUUAAUUUUCCACUUAUCAUUUUUACUCCAAAAAAAUAAUUGAGAAUAUUAUUUAUGUUUUGGUGCAAAAUAUUUGAACAAUAUACAAAUUUUCAGUUUAAUAAAUCUAAACAUCUAUUAAGUUAUAAAUGAAUUUAAUGGGUUUAAUUAAUAAAAUUACUAUUAUUAUAUAAAUUGGAUUUAGUAAUGGUACAUUGGGUGGGUUUGUUGAGUAAAUUUUAAAAUUUUGAAAUUUAAGGAUGGGUUUAUUUAGUAAAUGAGUUAAGGGAGUAGUUUGUUGGGAUUCACAUAACGCCACCAAAUUCAAAUGUAAAAUUUAUGGAAAAAGAAGCUAUUGAGUUAUUCUUUUUAAAAAAAGAAUUAAAAUGUCAAGAAUACCUUUAUUUAAUUUUAUAAUCUUAUUUUAUAGUCAUAUUUUAUUUCCACCUUAACAUAAUUUUAAAAAACCUUAACUAAUAAAUUCUAUAUUUUUUUUAUAAAAGUUAUCAUUAAUAUCCAAACGGCUAAAGAUUUUUUUUUUUAAAAAAAAAGAAACUAUGCUUACAAAAGUUGUAUACAUUAACAAUAAAUUUAGUCCAAAGAAUAAAGUUAUUCCAAACAAGCACUCCUAUUCAUCUUGCUAAUGAAUCAAGAUGACUGAAUCCAUUCUCUAAGCCAAAUCUAUUUUCACUUCUAGGUCAGAAAUUGUCAUUAAAAAAGUGUUUGAUAAAAUAUGCUCUGGGAACACUAAUUCGUCAGAUGGUUACUCCAAGUUUAUGAAAUCAAUGGGGUUUCAUCAUAUUCAUAACAUUCUUCUUUAAUGUCUAUUCUAACAAAGAAAUUACUAGAAAACUUUUACUAGAAAAACUAACCACAAUUCAUCAUUCAUUUAUAUCUUAAGUAAGCGUAAGAUUUUAUCAUUAAAAUCUCAUCAUGAAAAAACUCAUGGGAGAAAAACUAUAAAAAUUGAAGAAAAAAGAGUAUGGCGUGCAUGUAAAUUAUAUCGAUUUUAUCUAUAUGACAAAUAAGACUCUCUUUUACAAUGGCACGGAUGCUUCAUUGAGUAAUCAUGAUUCUUGCUGGUAGUGCUUUGUUGUAUCAAUCUGCUAGCUAUUCAGCUUUCUUUCUUUCUUUCUUCUUUUUAUUUUUUUUGUUUUCAAAUAGCUUGUGGUUGUAGAAAUAUUUCAAUUAAACUAUACUUAAGUACUUAUUUGGUAUAACUUCUUUACUAGCCAAAAGAUUUUUUUUUUGGUUUUUUAUAAUUUAAUUAUACUUUAACUAGAGUUUUUGGGAUUAAACAAGUGAUAAUUUCUCUCUGUUAAGAAAAACUCAAACGGUAGGGUUAUCUCAAUCCACCAAACUAUUUAUUAAAAAUCCACUUAUGAAAAUAAUUUUUAAUUAUUAGAAUGCCUCUAAAUUAAAUUACAAUUAUAGACACUAAAAUAUAGUAAAAAAAAUUUUUUUUUACUCUUUAAAACUGUCUUUACAUUCGAUAUCAUAUCUUUUUCUUAAAAUCUAAAUUGAUUUUUUUUUUAUUAAUCUCAGAACACAUAUGAAGUGAUUCAUAUUGGUUUUAUACUAACAAACUAUCAUAGCACAUUCGAAAAUAAUUAACUCGUUCUUAUUUGCAUAGUGAAAAGGCAAAUAGUUCAUCCAAAUGUUAAAGAAUUGGAGAGCUGCUGCUGGAGAUGAAAGAUGUGAAAAGCAUGGUAAAGAAAAAUUACAUAAUUCUCACUUAGAUGAGGAAGAAAAAAAAAAGAAUACAAUUAGAAUGAGAGGUAGCCAAUAGCCACUAGCCGCCGCCACCGCCACCAGUGAAACUAUUUCACAUAAUAGAAGAUAAAGCACGCGUAAUGGAGGCAAAAAGCAAUUAAUGAUAACUCUUUUCGACACACUAAUACAUAUCAAAAUGCAAUAUCGGUCCUAACAAAAUGAAAAUAAAAAUUCAUUACGAAUAUGCGUUAAACAUAUCCCAAGUAUUGAUGAUGUGAUUGAAAUAUUUGAGAUUGAAGUAUAAAUAAGACUCAAAAUUAAUUGAGAGGAAUAAAUGAGAAACUCUAAUACUAAUAAAAUACAUUCACAAAUCCUAAUGCUAAUUAAAAUCACGGAUUAAAAAAAAUAAUAUGAAUGAAUUACAGGCGCAACUGUUUCAUUAAGAAAUUAAUUAAAUCGUGUAUUAAUAUUUUGUACACAUACAUUUUUCCAUAUAUAACUUUUGGUAAUUUAGUUUUCCACUUAUCAUUUUACUCCAAAAAAAUAAUUGAGAAUAUUAUUUAUGUUUUGGUGCAAAAUAUUUAAACAACGUAUAAAUUUUCAGUUUAAUAAAUCUAAACAUUUCUCAAGUUGUAAAUGAAUUUAAUGGGUUUAGUUAGUAAAAAUGCUAUUAUUAUAUAAAUUGGGUUUAGUAAUGGUAUAUUGGGCAUUUAAAUGGGUUUGUUGAGUAAAUUUUAAAAUUUUAAAAUUUAAGGGUGGGUUUAUUUUAGUAAAUGGGUUAAGGCAGCAAUUUCCCAAACUAAAAUUUUUAGAAAAAGAGGCUAUUUAGUUUUUUUUUUUAAAAAGAAUUAAGAUGUUGAGAAUACCUUUAUUUACUUUUAUAAUCUUAUUUUAAAAAAUUUACCCAAUAAAUUUUAUAAUUUUUUACAAAAAUUAUCAUUAACAUCCAAACAGCUAAAGAUUAAAAAAAAAAAAAAAGAAGGGAACUGUACUAGCAAAAGUUAGAUUAACAAUAAAUUUAGUCCAAAGAAUAAAGUUAUAGCUAAAAAGUGCUCCUAUCCUAUUUUUCUCUAUUUUAACAAUAAUCUUCCAAUCCAUUUUACAAUGGACUUAACAAAUGGGCUCAAUCUCUAAACUUCAUUUUCUUUUGCUAACCCAUGGCCAUUAGCCAGAAAGCCUAAAACAAUUUUAGGAUCACAUGUGUAAAUGGAACUCCAAGAUUGAUCAAGAAUUAACAAGACAAGAUGAAGAGAUGAUCUUGUAACUAAGAAUGAAGAAAUUGAAUCAAGACAGUACUCUAGUAAAACCCAGAAAACAGAGCUUGAAGAAUCACGCACAAAGCAGUAAAUUUGUAAAACCAGAAUUGGAGCUUCACUUCUCAAGAUAGACGAAACAGGAUACAAUCUAGCUUUGGUCAACUUCGUUUGGCCACGUCAUAAAGUCUUCCCCCACAGUCUUUCCCGCCAAAACAGAAAAGCUUUAAAAGCCAUUUACCCUCCUGAGUUACUUGCUCCUAUUACAUCAAGGCCCUGUAAGUCUAUAUUUAUUAUUACAAAAGCACCCUUAAACCGAGAUUUGAGAUAUUUUUUCAAAGAUCGAAGCGCAUGAUUUCACGGCUAUGUUGCAUAGUGAAUUUUAGUGCUUUACAGUUAAGGGAUAGUUUAAAUUCAUUACAAAGCAUUCGCAAAGAAAUUGUUUUUAAAUGAAACUCCUCGUCUUGACCAGAUUAUUUAUUAUUAUUAAAAAAAAAUGUUCAAAACUUAGCCAAAGUGAUAAACUCGUAAUUAUUCUACAAAGGGAACAAUUUUGAACGGUGGGAAAUUCCAUAAUUAUGCUUUUCUGUGAAUUAUUUUAAAUAAAAUUAUAAAAAUUAAUAUAAAAUUAUAAUAAUGAUAGAGCCACAAAUUCUUGUACAAAUUUAUUUUAUACAAACUCAUGUGGCAUGAUAAGAUUGGUUGAAUUAAAUAUUACUUGGCCCACAUGAUUUGUUUUUAUUAUUUUAUAUUUUUAUUCAACCAAUAAAUUAAUACCACGUCAGUUUGUACAAAAUAAAUUUAUACAAAAAUUUGUGACUCGAUCAUCACUCAUAAAAUUAAUACCCGGUAAAGACUGUAGAGAGACAAGUGCCCCCAACAGAAUCAAGUGAAUAUGCCCCACAAAGAUCACAUGAUCAUUUCUGUUCUUUUUCUUUUUGAUAAUUUUAUCUGUGGUUUCAACUUUUAUGCUUUAUUGUCGUAUCCCGUUGAGGGCUCCGCUGCACCCAUUACAACUUACCCCUAAAUUGCCUCUUACUAACUAAACCGUUAGAUUUUAUGGAAGCACGUUCAAUGUUGAAUUUUAAUUAUGUCAUCGAAUUUCGUUUAGCUCCUUAAACUCCAUUUUAUUUGUAAUUUCUUCAUAAAAUAUUCAAAGCUUCAUCAAGCUCCUGAUGGACCAUCAUGGCUAGGGGUGCAUUAGAGCCGAACUGAAAUAUGUUAGUUCAGUUCAGUUUGGUCAGUUUAAAUCGAAUGGUUUAGAAUAUAUAAACUGAUCAAUUUUAAUUUUGAAUUGAACCGAACCGAAAAUCAAUUGGUUCACUAUUAGUAUUUUUGUAUAAACAAGAAUGAUUAGUGAUUAUAAUUAAAUUGGACUAAAAAAAAUUCAAACUAAGGUGAAAAAUAUCAAAUCUUAGACAAUAUAAAAAAAAAUAUUAAAUUUUUUUAACCGAAACGAACCGAAUUAUUUUGACUCAGUUUGGUUCAUAAUUUUUUAAACCAAACUGAUUUAUUCCCACCCCCUAAUCGUGGCUCUCUAUCUUUAGUCAUUCACCCUUGAGUUUGAUGCCAAUUGUUGGGUUUCAAAUGAUUAUACACUCAAAUGGAACCCUCAUAACAAAAAACUAACAGAAACAAUAAGAACACGAUGUUAAAAUCUUAAAUCAAUCGCAACGGUCCUUUUUUUUCCCCAUUCUUGAACCUAAAGUAUUUGAGUAUGCAAAUUAAUAAAUAAAUUCAUUUAUUUUUAUUAAAAUUUUGUAAAAUUAUAAUUUUUAAUAAAAAUAAUUAUUAAAAUUUUGUAAAAUCUAAAUUUAGAAAAAUUCAGUUGGGCACCUCUAUUUGAGAUUUAUUUUUUAUUAAAUUUAGGGAUAUUUUUAUAAUUAUAAUUUUUAAUUUUAAAAGUUUUUAUAAGAUAAAAUAGUCUUUUAAUUUAUUUAGGGGUAAAAUUGAUGUUUUAUUAAAAUUAUUUAAUUGUGUUAAUGCAAAAGUGACUAUUUGAUACAAAUGUGAAAAGAAAGGUGGUGCAAAAUAUAUGUUAAAAUUUUAUAUUGGUUGGAUGAACAUAAGCUAAAAUAAAGGUGGUGCAAUGAUAAUUUCCCUAUCCUAAAACUUAAUUGACUUAAUUCUUAUGGUGCAAGGAAGAGGUUUCCAAGUUUAAAUCUAAAGGCUUGUAUUUAAUUUGGGGUUGGGAAAGCACUGAGAAAUAAAUGUAACUAAGGAAAAAAAAAAAGUCAUGCAGUCCAAAUAAGUAGACAUAUUUAAUAUGAGGUGGGGAUGGGUGAACUGUAAUUCAGAAAAAAUAAAAUAAAAUUUCAUAUAAAGUUGAGGGUGUGUUUUAAUGGUUUCUUAUGCUGCGUUUACUUUUUGGACUAGAGUGAGAAUUCUGAGAAGUGGGAAUCCUGUGAUUAGGUGUGUGGAGUGGGAAUGAGAGUAGGGUAUUUACUUAGACUAAAUAAAAAUAUGGAUUGUCAAUCAGAAUCUCAAUUAUUUGUUACUUUGUCUUGGAUUGAGAGUAAAUUAUUUUAAAUUACAAUUUUAUCCUUAUGUAAAGAAUUAUAAUUUGUAAUUAAAAAAUUAAUAAAAAUAUAUUGGAAAAUAAAAUAAAUAUUUUAUUAUAUUUAUAAAAUAAUAAUAAUUAAUAAAAUUCUUAAUUAUGUAAAUCAUAAUUUUUUAUUAAUUUAAAUUUAAAUUAUGUGAAUAAAAAUUAUUAAUAAUAGCAACACAAAUGAAACAUUAUUAUUGAUAAUAUAGUAUAAAAUUAAUAUUUUUUUAGAAUAAAAUAUUUAUUAUUAUUAAAUAAAUAAAUAAUAUUUAUUAAAAUUAAUGUUUAAUAUUAUUAAUUUAAAUAUAAUAUUUAUUUAUUUUUAUUUUAUUUUAUUAAAUUUAAUAAAAUAAAUAUGUUAUAAUUAUUAUUUUUAAUAAAUAUGACAUUAUUUAUUUUAUUAAAUAUUAUUUAUUUAUUUUAAUUAUGAGGGUAAAAAUAAAAGAGGGGGAGUGGAUUCCCACUCCCACCUCCCCCCAUGGGAGUGGGAAUCCCACUCUCCCCUUAAAAAUGAUAAGUAAACACUAGAAUGGGAAGAAUCCACACUCUACACUUUCUAAAAAAUAAACACUACCUUAAUUUAAAUUGAUUUGUUGGAUAUUUAGCUAAAAUGAGAGUAGCUCUCUAAUAAUUAUUGCAUUAUUACAAACAUAUCCAACGGUUAUAUAUGCUUGCCUGUGGAAAUAAAAGUCCCAAGUUUCUUUGAAAGGUAAGCUAGUGUGAAUGUUUUCAUCCGUGCAACUUACUUGAUGAAUGAAGUUUUCAUCCCUGACCUUGAUGUUUCUGGUGGCUACAAUCAUUUCAGCUGAUCUAUUCCAUUUUGUUAAGGUGAGAAUUUAGAGUGGCUUUAACUGUUAGCAAAUAGCCUAAUGUAAGACUUGAUCAACUUCCUGCCCUGUUGUAUGCUUAUGAAUUUUGAUAGAGUUAUGAGUUUGCAGAAGCUACUGUAUUAUAUGUUGUUAGAGGCUGUAAAAAUGAGGCAGAUCAAACACACAUUUAAAUUUCAAUGACAAUUUACUAGAAGUAAAUUUCCUAUGACCCUCCAGGUGACUAAUCAAUGAGAACUUGACAAUAACAAAAGAAAGUGUAUGAGCUUUGCAGGCGGGCACGCCAAUCUUGACUGCAUGGCACCAUCCGCCAUUUGCAAGUGAAUAUCAUUAUUGUUUAAUCAACAUGGUGGAGUCCACUGGGACCACACCACAUGGUCAGUCUUAUCUCUAUUCCUCAAUUUUCAGUAUUCCAUACAUCAAAACAAUUUCAGUUUUGUUAUCAAUUAUAAUUUCAUUGUUGGAGACGAUUCUGAUUCCUUUCUUUCUGACAAAACGGAACCAUGGUUGCUGUGGGAGAGAUCUUACUCAACGCCUUCUUUCAGGUGUUGUUUGACAGGUUGGCUUCCCGUGAUUUGCUCAGCUUUGUCCGUCAACUUGGAGGCGGGGUCGAUUCCGAGCUCAAGAAGUGGGAAAGAAAGCUGAAGAUGAUUCAGGCGGUGCUCAACGAUGCAGAGGAGAAGCAACAGACUGACGAGGCUGUGAAGAUGUGGCUGGACGAUCUCCAAGACUUGGCUUAUGACACUGAGGACAUUCUUGAUGAGUUUGCUACUCAAGCCUUGGAAAGCAAGUUGAUGGCGCAAAAUCACGAUAGUUCUGGCCAGGUUCUCAGUUUCAUCCCGGCUGGUUUGAAUCCGAAUGCUAUUAUGUUCAAUUAUAGCAUGGGGUCCAAGAUUAAAGAUAUCACUAGCCGGCUGGAGCAACUCUGCCAAGAAAGAAUUGAACUUGGACUGCAACGGAUUACCGGAGAGGCAUCAUCAACUGCUGCUGCUGCUGCACACCAGAGGCCACCCAGUUCGAGUGUCCCAACAGAACGUGAAGUAUUUGGAAGAGAAGAAGAUAAGGCCAAAAUUCUUGAUAUGGUAUUGGCCGAUACCCCAAGUGAUCAUGCAAACUUUGUUGUAAUACCCAUUGUUGGCAUGGGCGGGAUAGGAAAAACAACUCUUGCCCGGGAAGUCUACAAUGACAAGGCCGUUGAAGAUUCCAAGUUUGAUGUAAAAGCAUGGGUUUGCGUAUCUGACGUCUUUGAUGUUUUGGGCAUCUCAAAGGCACUUCUCGAGUCAAUCACCCGCAGGCCUUGUCUUCUAAACAGUUUAAAUGACGUGCAGGUUGAGCUGAAAGCAGCUGUGGAUAAAAAAAGGUUCCUGCUGGUCUUAGAUGAUGUUUGGAACGAGGACUACAGCUUAUGGGUAGACUUAAAAGCUCCGUUACUGGUUGCUGCACCAAACAGCAAGAUGAUCGUCACCACACGCAAUUCAAGUGUUGCAUCAACAAUGAGACCCAUCGAUCGUCACCACACGCAAUUCAAGUAUUACGAUCUCAAGAGUCUGUUAGAUGAUGAUUGCUGGUCCAUUUUCAUAAACCAUGCAUUUGAAUCUACAGACCUUAGCGCACAUCGAAUUUCAGAAUCAUUCCGCGAGAAAGUUGUUGGCAAGUGUGGGGGCUUGCCUCUAGCAGCAAAAACACUCGGGGGCCUUCUUCGUACUAAAACGCAUGCUGAGUGGGACGGUAUAUUGGAUAGCAAAAUAUGGGAUUUACCUCGGCAAAGCAGCAUUCUCCCCGUGUUAAGAUUGAGUUACCAUCAUCUUCCUUCUCAUUUGAAAAGAUGUUUUGCUUUUUGUGCCAUCUUUCCAAAAGAUUAUGCAUUCACUGAGAGGGAGCUGACUUUCUUAUGGAUGGCUGGAGGUAUUAUUCGACAGUCAAGAAACAAUGAGCAGCUGGAAGAUUUGGGCAGCAAGUGCUUUGGUGAUCUAGUGUCGAGGUCAAUUUUUCAACAAACAGCAAUCUCUGAUAGUUCUAAAUUUGUAAUGCACGACCUUAUCCAUGAUCUUGCUCAAUUGGUCUCUGGAGAAACCAUAUUUAGGUUAGAGGAGGCCAAUACUCUGUCAAGAAGAUUUGAAAGGGUUCGCCAUUCCUCCUAUGCCCGUGAUUGGUGUGAUGGUAGAAAUAAGUUGGAGGUUUUCAAUGAAAUUGAACAUCUACGAACAUUCUUGCCAUUUUGCAUAAGAGGUGGCGUUACUUCUGGUUGGAUAACUAGCACGGUUCACUACGAUUUGUUGCCGAAGUUCAAAAGGUUGAGGAUGCUGUCUUUAGAAGGAUACCAUAUUGGUGAGUUACCAAUUCCAUUUGAAGAUUUGAGACUUUUAAGGUUCCUCAACCUUGCUGACACUGACAUAAGAAGUUUACCUGAGUCAACAUGCAAAUUGUUGAACUUGGAAAUUCUGAUAUUAAGAAAUUGUUCCCGUUUGACAAAGCUUCCCCAGAAAAUGAGGAAUUUGAUCAAUUUACGUCAUCUGGAUAUAAGAGGUGCAAAGCAGCUGAAGGAGAUGCCAUUUGGAAUGAAAGAGUUGAAGAAGCUUCAAACGUUGUCCAAUUUUAUUGUAGGCAAGGGUGAAUCUGCAUCUGGUUUGGAAGAUUUAAAAAGUUUAGACCUUCUAUGUGAUGAACUCUGCAUUGCUGGAUUAGAGAAUGUGAAUAGUCCACAGAAUGCAAGAGAAGCCACAUUAUGUGAGAAGCACAAUCUUGAAGCAUUGACCCUAGAAUGGGGGUCUCAAUCUGACAGUCCUCGGGAUGCAGUACUAGAAGAGAAGGUACUUGACACUCUACAGCCUCAUGAACGUAUAAAAGAGCUGGCAAUCAGGAACUAUGGUGGUGCAAGAUUUCCACCUUGGAUCAGAGAUCCUUCGUUUCCCGAGAUGAAGGUCCUUAAAUUGGAGAACUGUGACGAUUGUGAAUAUCUGCCAUCACUUGGCCUGUUGAGUUCACUUAAGCACCUUGCUGUUAAAGGGCUGAAGAAACUAAAAAGCAUAGGGUCUGAGGUUUAUGGGGAGGGUUUGUCAAUGCCUUUUCCAUCAUUGGAGGUUCUAAGUUUUGAGAAUUUGCCUGAAUGGGAGUAUUGGGACACCAAUAUCAGAGGAAAUGUGCUCGUUGAAAUGUUUCCUCGUCUCCAUAAACUUUCCAUUGUGGAAUGUCCCAAACUCUCUGGGGAACUGCCUGAGCUCCUGCCCUCCUUGGAGACACUUGUUGUUAGUAAAUGUGAAAAGUUGGUAGUUCCAUUGUCUCGCUAUCCGAUGCUCUGCAGAUUAGAAGUUGAUGAGUGCAAGGAACUAGCAUGCGGGACUCCAAUUGAUUUUAAGUUGAUAGAGUCUGUGACUAUUUCAAAUAGUUCCUUAGACAUGAAUGGAUGCAAGGGGAUGCUAUACGAUGGUCCAGCUGGCUCUUCACUGCCAAAGCCUAUGAUUACUACAAAUGUUUCGGAGUUUGGAAAAUUAUUGAAGCCUGGAUGUCAAAUAUUAGAAACUUUAGUAAUUGGCAAUUCUGGACGGCUCAAGUCAUGGAGGCAGCAUGGGGAUUUUCUAGAAGAAUAUAUGGUCGCUCACCAAAGGUUUAAGAAACCAGUACAAGGGCUAAAUAUGCUCGCUUCCCCUGAAGAGGUAACAAUUGAAGAAAGUUGUGUGAGUUUUGUUUUGUUUCCAGAGAUCAAUUUCUUUCCCAGAAAUCUGCGCUCUCUUCUAAUUUGCAACAGCACUGCUUUGAAAUCCUUACCCGAGGAAAUGAUGGAAAACAAUUCACAACUGGAAAGGUUGUAUAUCAGAGAUUGCGACUCUCUAACAUUCAUCGCAAGACAGAGGCUACCAGCAUCUGUUAAAAGGCUUGAGAUAGAAAAUUGUGAGAAAUUGCAACGUCUGUUCGAUGAUGAAGAGGAUGCUUCUUCUUCUUCUUCUUCUCCUUCAUCCUCGUCUUCCCCAGUGAUGCUGCAACACCUGAUAAUAGGGAAAUGCCCAAAGCUCACCAGUUUAUUAUCGGGUGUCCAAUUCCUUGAGGCGCUUGAAUUCCUCAAGAUAGAGCAUUGUCCAAAGCUGGAGUCAAUACCGGAUGGCCUGCCCAAUCUUAAAUGUUUACAGAGCAUUUAUUUACUCAAUUGUCCAAGUCUUGUUUCCUUCCCAGAAAGAGGGCUUCCCCACACCAUUUCAUUUGUUUGCAUUUGCGGAUGUGACAAGCUUGAAGCCCUGCCCAAUGACAUGCACAAACUCAACUCUCUUCGACAUUUAAGCAUACAGCUCUGUCCAAAUCUUGUAUCGUUUCCAGAAGAAGGUUUUCCUACCAAUCUAACAUCACUUACAAUUGGAGAUUUCAAAAUGUAUAAGAUACUCGUCCAGUGGGGGUUGCACAGGUUUACCUCUCUUAGACGCCUCUAUAUCGUUGAUUGUGAUGACGAAGCAGAGUAUUUUCCAGACGAGGAUAUAGGAAUGACGCUGCCCACCUCUCUCACUCAACUGGAACUUUCGGGAUUCAAAAAAUUGAUAUCUCUGUCUUCGACGGGUUUUCAGAGCCUCACCUCUCUUCAAAGAUUGCGGAUCUGGGAUUGCCCAAAUCUCACAUCAUUUCCAGAGGUGGGCCUUCCAUCCUCACUUUUGGAAUUACACAUUUACAAAUGUCCAAAGCUUAAAAAAGCGUGCAAAAGAGAUCAAGGAAAAGAGUGGCCCAAAAUUGCUGACAUCCCUUGCGUUGAGAUAGACAAUAAAUUCAUAUACGAUCCAGAAUAAGAGGAGUAGAUUCUACUAUUAAGGUCAGUUGAUUUGUAUUAUCCGCUAUAACAAGCUCCUCCUUUUUUUUUUUUAAAUAAUAAUUUUGCAGUCACUCACGUGAUUCCGUUUUCACAAGUCAGAUUGUAUGUUGAGGCUAUUUGCCUUUUAGUCGCAGAUUAAAUUAUAACACUUAUCUUAAAAUUUAAUACCAUAGACAGAUAGACGAUUUUUUAAUCCAAAGUUUUUUUUAUUCACUUCAGUUAGCAUUUUUUUUUUUCCCCAAAUCAUGCAAGCCGAGAGUUUCAAUCAAGAAUUGGAGCAUGGGAAUGGAAUUUUUGUGAAAACAUAAUGGAUGAACGAACAUUUCAUCUGUGAUCUCAAAGUCAACAGAAUUUUAUUCACUCAAUGACUUUUCAACUGCUGUGGUUAUUUAUGGGUGAAAGAAAGAUAAGGGCAAUUACAAAAAAUUUGCAAAAUUUGUCAAUUUCUUAGAUGGUAGAUAUAUCGACAUUUUAGAUUUCAGAUAUUUGUCACCAAUUUCAUUCCUUUUUUUUUAUUUUUUCAAGCAAGUUUGACUAAUUUUAACCAGAAUUGGAGUAUAAUAUUUUGGAGCAAGCAUACUUGAAAUUUCUGUCUUCAAUAUUUUGAUGCUUUUUUAAUUUUGGAUCUAGUAAAAAUACAUAGCCUUCACCGGCAGGAUUCUAGUCUUGGCUUUCACCUCUCUAACUCAUCCGGCCCCAUUGGGAUUCCAGAAAUUGAAAUUUCUGUCUUCAAGGGGUUUUCAAAGCCUCGCCUCCCUUCGAUUUUUGUGGAUCGGGAAUUGCACAAAUCUUACAUCAUUUCCCGAGGUCGAGGAAAAGAGCGGCCCAAACUUGCUCGCAUCCCUUGGGUUAUGAUAGAUGGAAAAUUCAUAUACGAUCCAGAGUCAGAGGUGUUGAUUCUCUUAUUAAGGUCAGCUGAUUUCUAUUAUCCACUCUGACAAUCUCCUAUUAGUGUUUUUCCCUUUUUUUUUUUCAAAAUUUUGCAGUUCCGUAUAAUUGAAAAUGCCACUCACUUGUUUCCUAUUAGUAUGUUGAGGCUAUUUGCUUUCUAUCGGUGUUUGUUAAGGUAAUUACUCACAGAUGAAAUUAUAACUUUUAUCUUAAAAUUUAUUGCCAUUGACAGAUGGACGAUUUUUAGUCCAAAGUUUUGUUAUUAACUUCAAUCAAAAUUUUAGAUUGCAGAUUUUUGUCAAUUAUUUCAUUUUUUAUUUUUAUUUUAAAGCAGAAUUGGAGUAUAACAUUUGGAGCGCGCAUACUCUGAUGCAUGCAAUUAACUGUUUUUAAUCGUUGGAUUUUGAAAUUAAUGAUGGUAAGAUGUGUACUUAUUUUUUCUUCCGGACAACCUUGCCUUCUUUCUUCGGUAGCAUAUCUAAUGAAUAUUUCUCUGUUUAGUUAAGGAUGAAUGCUUGGAGUGGUCUGAUUCACAACAACACCUCUUCCAGAAAAUAUGAUACAAGGCAAAGCCAUGUUCUGAAGCAGAAAUGAUACAGCAGUUGCGGUACCCGAGGUACCUUUUGCAUUUAACUUGCCUUUAUUUGUUUUGCUUGUGACUUAAGAACACAUCAUUUCCCAGAGAUUUGGAGAAGCAUCUCAAGAUGCUUAACAAACUUGACAAGCUUCAAGAUGCACUUGCUCCCAAGCAUUGAUUCUUCACAAUGGAAAACCUGUGAGUACACUUAUGCCCGCAAUUAUUGUUAAGUGUUUGCAAUUUUGAUGCAGCGAAAUGGUUUGUGGAUGCAAAGCUUUAAAACUGUUAAGAACUACCCUGCAGGCUUGUUGGAUGUUGUAUACUUCAAAAGCCACCAACACCAAGAACUACAACAGCAAGACUAGGUUUGCGUUGCUUCAAUCAGCUGAAAUAAUGAUGCAAAUGACACUAUCAAGCUGGACUUAGAGACUUGUCAGGUCAAUCAUCCAUUUCAUCAACAGUUAAUGUCAUGAUGGUGGCUAUCAGAGGAAACAAAAGAUCUGUUGGAAUCAAUUCAAACAGUGAGAAGCAUGAGAGGAGCAUUGAUUAUAAAUAGGCUCAAUGAGCUCAUGCUGGUAAGUGGUAAUUAAGAAAUUUGUGAGCUUAGUAUAGUUUCAAUUUUUUUCUGUUUGGGAUAUAGUUGAUAAGUUGAUACUCUGAUUAAGAAGCCUGAUUAUAGUAGCUGACUGUGCUAACUGCGUUCUUUUAUUUUUUAUUUUUUUGGUUUGCCGUCGUUUUUUCUUUUGAUUAUUUGUUCAACAUUAGAUUGAUCUGUUGAAGACUACGAGGAAGAUCCAGACUUGGAUGCAGGCGUGCAGCUCGUAAUAGGUGAGAACAAAUGAAUGCUUUAACCAUGUUUCUCACUUAUGACAAUGCACGGAUCAAAGGCAUCUGAGUUGAUCCUGAAAAUGUGAUGGAAAUAGGUCUCUGUUUUCAUAAAACAGAACAAAUAGAGAUCUCUGAUCACGCCUGAGAAUUCAUUGCAUUGAAAUUUCUACCAUUGGCAAACAUAGAAUAAACUGGGGAUACAUUAGCUUUAGACUCUAUUUUGAGGAGGAAGUUUGUACUUGCAGCCUAUAAAAUCAUAUCCCUGUUGUAUGUUUCUUUGGGAAAUGAAAGAUUCUGUGUGUUCUUUUAUUUCAAGUUUGCUGAAAUCACAUUUGUUUUCUAAGAUGCUUUACAGAAGGUACCAACAUCAUUUUCAAAAAUGCUGGGGUAAGAUACAUCGUGCAGUGCUCCUCAACAUGAGAAUUCCUGGCCGCAUUACCCAUAUGUGGAAUGAUCUGAGAGUACAACCGUGAGAAUGUUGUAAGGAGUACACAACCAGAUGUGAGUAGUUUGAAAAUGAAUUCGCAUGGAAUGAUUUCUUGCCAGUGCAGAAAUGGCUUGGUUCAAAAUAUGCUCAGCUUCAUUGACACUCUUCGGUAGGCCUCUCCGUCCUUCCAUUCUUAACUACAAUACUACUCUUGUCUGUCUAGUUAUGGAAUCUCUCUUUUAAUCCUCAAAGUUUGAAUUAUAUUAUAUUGCCUCUGUGUUACCGCAGAAACUGAGUCAGUUGGUGAUCCUUCAAAACAAGAAAAACCAAAAACAGAUACAGCGCGCGAUAAGAUAAUGAGACAGAUGGCUCCCGUUGCUGCAUGCCACUUGCUUGUGUGCGUAUUGGGACCAUCAUCAACAACAUUGACGUAAACCCAGCUCAAGGUGGGAAGCUAGUUCGAGCUGCAGGGACGUUAACCAAGAUUUUGAGAAAGAACCCACUUCAAGGUGUUGCUUAGUUAGGCUACGUUGUGGAAAUGAGAAAGUGAUUGACCCUAGAUGUCGCGCCACCAUUGGUACAGUGUCUAACCCCAGCCAUGGAGCUAAAAAGCUUAGUAAGGCAGGUCAGAGAAGUUGGUUGGGUCGAAGAGCUGUGGUUAGAGGAGUAGCCAUGAUUCCAGUUGAUCACCCUCAUGUUGAACAAAGCAAAAGUAGCGGUAACAAUGGAAGGUGUUCACUCACACCUUGGGGCAAGCCUUGUAAGUCUGGGAAUUAAACUGCAUCUCCUAAGAAGAAAGAGAAAUCAGCUGUCUGAUAAUAUUGUCCUUUUCUGCUAUUUGGUCUUUUUAACAUUGUUACACUGUUUUUACAUCUUUGAGGUUAGUUUUAGACCAAUUUUUAACUGAUCCAUAAUGAAACUGAAGUUUAAUUUUUGAUUAAACUUUCACUGGUUUUACUCUUCUGUCACUUCAAUUUAGCAUUGAUUUAAGAUACUGAAUUCUGUGCUUGGAGCUUGUAAAUUGGAAAGAGAUAUUUUGGGAUAGAAUGUAGAUUUUGUGUUUUGCUUUCUCAAGCUAGUUGUGACUUCUUAAAAGAGUCAAUCCAUGUCUUUAUAUAUUUUUCUUUUGUCUUGAUUCUGUUUCUUCAUACAGAUUCUUAUUUUAUGCUUCACAUACCACAUGAAAGAUGAAAGCCUUUUCUGUGAUUAGAAUUGACUUGCAUUAUAGUAACUUUAAACCACUUGGAUAUUUUUAUAAUAGCAGUCUGAGAUCUCCUUAAAGGAUUCAAAAGCAUCCACUGGCAUCCACUUUACUCGUAUCGGUCAAAAGUUUUGUGCAAUACAAUAUUAGCUUGACUGUAGCGCAGAGGAGAACAGGUUGGUGUUGGUCUGAAUUCUGAUAUUUGAAUAAAUAUAACAGCUCAUGUGACUCCACCACUUUUUACUUGUUCUGUAGUCUGUACCUACCUCCAUUGUCGGCACUGCCCAUACAAGGUCUUUUAGCUUUUUAAAAAGUUUCAUGAUAUUCCAUAGUUCACAUGGAUUUCUACAGUUUGUAGAAAACCUAAUUAGGGCACAUUUAAUUACUAUGCAGAAGAUUCUUUUAUCUUGCUCACCAAUAAUUCUUUGUACUUAUUUGAAAGAUGUGUUUCAAAAAAAUAAAAAAAAACUAUUUGAAAGAUGAGAAAUCCCUUAGCCGAACGACAAACUCAUCUAUCAGUCCUAUCAAAAAAAAAAAAACUCAUGUUUUAGUGGUUUUUUUUUUUCACUUGUAUUCAGUCGCACAAGUGAAGAUUGUGGGCAAUUUUUUCCUUGAGUAAAAUUGGAAUAGAUGUUUUUAUUGACACAAAUUUUUGAGCUAUGUUUGGGAAACCCUUAGACUUAAGACUUUGUUACGAUGAUAUGUAUCUAAGCUUUCAACAGACCGUUGAGGUCUUAUUAUCAAAAUACUAGAAAUUUACAAUUCAAUUUUGGUAAGGACCAAUUUAAUAAUGCUGUAAUUUUUAAAAUAAUUACCGUUAACUGUGUUGUAAAAAUAAUCAAUUAUGAAGAAAAUUAAUUAAACAUUUAGUAAACUUUAUUUUUACAAGUGCUUUGAAUUUUAAAAAUAGUCAUAUGUGUUCAGAAAAUCUCACUUCUAAAAUAGUAUAAGAAUGGAAAAAACUUAAAAAGACAAAUGUAUAAUAUUUAUUUACACAUGCAUUUAUAAAUAUGUGUAUAUAAUAACAUUUUAUGUGUACAUAUAAUAAUUGAUAACUAAAAUAAAUAUUUUUAUUUAUUAAUUAUUUUUUUGUCUCAAUGUAAUUGGUAAUACUUUUUUUUAAUCUUCUCAUCCUAAGUUUUUUUAUUGUUUUGUACAAAAUUCAAGGUUUGGACUUUUAUAAAAUGUCCACUCAAAAAUAAAUUGUUUUCUAACUAAGAUUUGUUGCUAAUGUAUAACUCAAAGUAAUACUAGCUAUUUGUAAUUUUAUUUCAAAAUUUUUAUUCAAAUGAUAUGGUAACUAAUGUACAUUAGUUGAUAGCAAUUUUUUUUUUUUUACAAUAUUCAAAUCAAUCAAUUGCAUCAUCUCAACAUUUUUAUGAUGUCGUGUUAUUUUAAACGAAUUUUUUAUUUUUAUAUAAAAUUUAUUAUGUUUAACAUCAUUUGCAUAACUUGACCUUUUUUUUUUCCUACAAAUAUUAAGUCAAAUUUACUCACCCUAUAUUUCUAUCUAAAAUCUACCUAAAACUCAUGCAUCACUGUAAAACAAAUCCAAAGAUUGCGGUACGUUUUUCUUGGUAACAAAUCAAUAAUUAGGUCAAGUACUACUACUAAGCGUGCUCAAUUAAUUCUAAAAUACUACGGUGAUCAAAAUCAUACUUGACGCAAGAGGAUAAGGGCUAAACCUCAAUUAGGCAUUAUUCAUCCAAAAUUCGUUGACCCGGCAUUCUUUGCAAGUUGUAGCACGGGACAGCUAAGAUUAGCAAAUGCUGUGGACCAUAUGCCCCCAUACAUUUGUGACAUGUGAAACUUGGCAUUAAAGGAAAGGCAACGUGUUAAAAUUUAAUAGCGCCCAAUUCUUCAUUGAAUGAUUAUCAGAUCCAAUGAGCAUCCUUUGAUUGGAUUAUUUUAAGUCAAUUAUUGGUGGAUUGGGGCCCACUUGACUCUACCAAAUCGGGCUCCACCAUAUCACCUAUUAACGACCACCUGUCCUUAUCAUAAAUAGCAAAUGUCACUUGUUUUAUUUUGUAUUUUACCAAAAGCAAAGUCACUAUGAACCCAAAUGAAAGUGACCCCAAUUUUGGGGGUCAUGAGCUUUGGAUUAUUAUGGACACAAGAGACAAGCGCAAAGUUUCUCAUUUAUCACCGGAUAAGAUUUAAGUUAUCAACCCAACAUUAAUAAAUUCUGCUUAAAGUAAAGUUUGAAGCUUCAUUUUGCGAAUAUUCAAUGGUUAACAUUUAAGUAAUUAACCUGAUAUUAAUCCAAUUAAACUUUUUAUGUAAUCCAAGUCAAAAAUAUGUUGAUAAACCUAAAUUAAUCUAAUUGGACAUAUUAUUUCAACUUGAAAAGGCGAAUCUAUCAUUUUUCAAUUAAUUUUGAAUCAAGCUAUGUAAAAUAUAAGCUUAUUAAAGACAUAUUUUUAUCAUGUUAAAAUAUCGAAAUACUUCUUACUCGUUUCGUAAUAACAUUAACAAACCUUUUGGUAAAUUUGACAGUCCAAUCAAUUCAGUUGGUUUUUUGUUAUUGAAACUCCAACAAAAUUCAUCACGAUUAUUAAAAACCCAUUAAAAAAAAAUGAAGGUAACUAUUUAAAAAAUUCUAAUUGAAUUAUUUAACAACUACAUUUCAACUAAAUUGUGUUGCUAAUUAACUUCCUCAACUUAAACUAUAUUUUUCUCAAUUAAUUCAUAACAAAUAAUGUUAGAUAUUUUAUUCGAAUAAUAACAUUCAACAUCCUUAUUCUUUAUGAUUAUUGCAUAAAAACAUAUUUUAUCCAUUUACAUCACAUAUGUUCCUAAAUUGUAUAAGAAAAUCACCAAAUUUACUCUUGUAAGUUACUAUAUCAAUGAACAUGAAAUUCACUAAUCAUUAAAGUCUCGGAAUGACAUCAUGAGAGGGAUUCAGUUACAUUUAUUGAUAGGAUUAGAUAUAUGUCUUCUCAAAUAUUAGUAGGAGCAAUUUAACAGAUGCAGCUACUAAAAAUAUAGAAUUACUUAUCUCGUCAAUAACUAACGAUAUUUUUUAUCUAUGCUCAAUAAAUUGUAAUAUUUGUAGAUUGUAACAAUUGUUAAAAAAAAAGAGCUCCCUGAGACUAAAUGACAAAAGGACUGUUUUGAAAUAGAUAGAUAAAAUAUGCCCUUAUUUGAGAAAAUGUAAAACACUAGGGAUCUAAAUGUUAUUAUAAUCCCAUGCACAAAAAUACCAAAAAUAACUAAUAACAACUAACCGAAAAUCCCAGGCGUCAUAUUCCUUUUUUCCGCGUUUUAAAAUGCCCUCUGAUUCAUUCACAGUCAGACGCUGUCGGCAUUUCUCUUCUCUCCCUCUCUCUCCACGUAUUAAAACAUGUAAAGUACGGAAAAAUUUAAAAAAAAUUUUAAAAUUACAUAAUUUAAAAGAUAUAAAAUUAUAAAUUUUUAAAAUUAUACGGUUUUAAAAUUUUUUUAAAUUUUUUCGUAUUUUAAAAUUUCAGACUAAAAAAUUAUUAUACGAAUACUUCGUAUAACCGCUUUGCGCUUAAAAUCUGUGCCUAACAAACUCACGAAAUCACUCCUCAUUUUCCUCUCUCCCUCUCCUCCUCUCAUUCCCUUUCAAAUCCUUCCACCACCUUCCCCGCCUCUCUCUCUUUCUCUCUCCCCUCACCGCCACAGCUCAACUUUUCCAUGUAAACCACCACGGGCGCCGUCGUUUCAACCUCCCACUCAUCCGACGUCGUUUUGUGUGAAUAAGAUAACGAUUUAAAUUAAAAUACGAAAAUGGAGAACUUAACGGCGCAGUUGAAGCGAGGGAUAUCGCGGCAGUUCUCGACGGGAUCGCUGCGGCGGAGCCUGACGAGGCAGAUGUCGAGGCAGUCGUCGUUCGAUCCGAGGAGGAAUAACAUGAGGUUUAGCUUCGGGAGGCAGUCGUCGUUGGAUCCGAUACGCAGGAGUCCGGUUCAGGACGAGUUGACGGUGCCGGAGAACCUUGACUCGACGAUGCAGCUGUUGUUUAUGGCAUGCAGAGGUGACGUCAAGGGAGUCGAGGAUUUGCUGAACGAAGGCAGUGAUGUCAACAGCAUUGAUCUUGACGGACGGUUUUGGCGAGAAAUCAAAGAAUUAAGAGACAAUAUUUAGUUAAGCUAAUAGUAUUUGUUCUGUUUAGUACGUCGUUUUACCAACAAGCAUCCCGGCAUUGCACGCAUUAAUAAAUUUUUUUUAUCUGUUUGGACUGAUGGUGGUAAAAAAUUCCACAUACUUUAUAUUAAAAAGGAAAAAGGACAAACACACCCCUAACGUCAACUUGGAGGGGGGUCGAUUCCGAGCUCAAGAAGUGGGAAAGAAGAAAGCUGAAGAUGAUUCAGGCGGUGCUCAAUGGUGGGUAUGACGGCAAAAAUAAGUUGGAGGUUUUCUAUGAAUUUGAACAUCUAAGAACAUUCUUCCCAUUACACAUAAGAGGUGGCUCCAAAACUGGUUACAUAACUCGUAUGGUUCUAACUGAUUUGUUGCCGAAGUUUAAAAGGUUGAGGGUGCUAUCUUUACAAGGAUACCAUAUUGGACCAAUUCCAUUUGAAGAUUUGAGACUUCAAAGUAUAAUUACCCAAAGUGUAUACAAUAAAAGCCAAAUUUAAGAAAUUCCUGAACCUUGCUGACACUGACAUAAGAAGUUUACCAGAGUCAACAUGCUCAAUGUUGAACUUGGAAAUUUUGAUAUUAAGAAAUUGUUUCCGUUUGAUGAUACUCCCACCCAAAAUGAGGAACUUGGUUAAUUUACACCCAGACUCUUUUCUUUUGACAUGGGGUUAACGAUCAAAGUUGGUUUCGUGCGGUAUAUAUUUACAAAUUGAUAGGUAUGCCUGGUGUUGAUGCAGGAUUCCGGUUCUUCUCGUUCUACGACCAGGAUCUCUGCUCGAUCAACUUCGUCACGACCAGGAGGUCUCCUCGCAAGACUUUUUCUCCAGAGAUUCCUGCGCACACAGACAAGUCAGAGUACGCCGGUUGUUUUCCCGGCGCAAACCCUCCGACGCUCAAGUCAGAUAUGAAGGUUCGGGGAACGCUUGCCACCGAUCUUAUGGCUUUUUCGUGGUUUUCUCUUCUUUUUAAUUCCUUUUCUAAUGAGAAAAAUGCCAACCCUUUUACCUCGUCGGCUACCUUUUUAUAGGCUUCCUCUGAAUCCCAGUUUUCCGCUCUUUUCGAGACGGUAUGGGACUCUGACUGCUGUGUUAUGGGCAAACGUGGGAUCUUGCGUGUUACGCCACCGUUCUGGGAAAAGCGCGGCAGUCGUGGUUCUGUGAGAUCUUGCGUGUUACGCCACGGUUCUGGGGAAAGCGUGGCUGUCGUGCUUAGGUUCUCGGGCUGGAGAGCAUGUCUCGUCAACUGCCGUCGACCGGGUCUCCUCGCCUCUCGACCUCUAGCCGGAAUGACCUUAUGCCUCUUACAGGAAAUUGGCCUCGCGGAUGACCUGCUCGUGGACGAGCAGGAUAUUUCUGCUCCUGUUCCCCCGCGUACCAGGCUUUUACGGGACACACCGGUUCGCAGAACUCUGCCAUCAGAUAUCUGCUCACCGUGCCUGGUCUCGUCGACGUAUUUCUCCCAAACACCGGUCCCCCAGUUUCUGGUGUUGGGUAAUGUAGUGGACCAGCAGUAGAAACUCGUUAGUACUCGCCCGCGUGGGAUUGGAAAAGGCUGCCAAGAGUCAUGUCGCAUUUAAUUGCGGACGAGGUGACGUGGCAGAAAUCCCCCCCUCCAUUUGAAUUUCAAACCGACGGUUAUGAGAUCCUCGGGAUUCAGCGCCGUUAAAUGCUGGCAACCCAAGAGUCCGUCCUCAUUAGGAAAACCAAAUCCUCUCGAACGGCAUAUUCGUCAUUCACUCCGUCUCCGUCUCUGUCUCCCCGGCAAAGAGGUUCCGGCAUAAAAGCCCUCCAUCUCUGAUUUUCACCGACUGAACCGUUACUUCAGGUAUUUCUUCUAUCUCCUUGGUCUCGGAUAGUUGUAGAUAAUUUCUCUUCUCUUCUGUUGGGUAGUAGUUGGUGGUGUUGUGGUUAGAGCUUAGGGAAUGUCGAAAGGCAAAGAGAAGGUCAUUGAGGUUGGUGACGACGAGUUGGACUUCCUGCCUAGUCUGCUCACCGAUCCUGCUUUUGACCCCGGGAUCCCCUUAGAGCCCAUUAGGUCUAGUGUCGGGACUAGUGCUAGGAGGAUGUCUCCCCAAACAACCUCUACGAGCGGAAGUAAUGGUGAGGAGAGAUCUUCUGGCUCCGAGGAUACUUUGAGUGAGAAUGGCGAAGGUGACUCUGGUGAGGUGUCUCCAUCUGGAACAUCACGACCAGAAGAACGGGGUAUAGUAGGAGGCAGAGCCUUGUCGCGCGAUUAUGCCAUUGAUUACAUGACGUGCACGACCUCGUUUGACGAGCUCAAUGACCUCCGGCUUAGGUAUAGCAUUCCUGGUGAGAUACCUCUCAAGGUCCCAGGAAAGAAGGAUGCUCCCAGCCGGCCUCCUAGGGGAUAUGUUACCCUGUAUCUGGACAGCUUUAAGUACGGGCUGAGGUGUCCCUUGCAACCUUACUUUGCCCGGAUACUUAACGGGCUAAAUCUAGCUCCUGGUCAGCUGAAUCCCAAUGGGUGGAGAGUGCUCUCUGGUCUGUUCAUAUUGUGGGACAGAUGUUGCCAAAGCGAGCCCACGGUUGAUGAGGUGAAGCACCUGUACCAGCUAAAGAGCAGCCCCAAAGAUGCCGUCUGGUACUACUUCCAAUCUAGCACCAAGAGCAGGAAACCUAUAACCGACCUCCCUACUGGUGGUGGUGGGAAUUGGAAGAGAAAAUUCUUUUUUGCUGGGGGUCCUUGGGGUCAGGUUGCACAAAUGGACGGGAAGGAUUAUCGGGUCCCACCCCGUUUCACGGUCCCAGGUUGCCUGCUCGCUUUAGAUGUCUUGUAUCCACAAUUGUUAUUGCUUUAUUGGCUUGUCUCUAACCAAGUGUCUGUUUGCGUUGUAGUUUCUUGGGGUGUUCACUUCCCGCUCCCACCUGACCAGCUCAAACGGGUCAAGGCUGUGCUCGCCAAUUCCUGCUCGAGUCGAGAACUGCUAACUACAUACAACUUGCUCGAAUCUCGCUUGAUACUUCCUGGCCAUAGGAUGGAGGACGCCGUGAUUGGGGCUCUGACCCGAAAACGUUCUCGACCUCCAACCACGAAGAGGGACCAGGGUAAGGAUGCCCCUGCUGCAAAGCGGGCCAGCAUCGUGCAGCAGGUCCCACCCUUGGAGAUUUUACCUCCUGCUCCUGAAAAAGUCGGGGAAGCUAGUGGAGCAGCCACAGAUCCUGCUUCCUCAUCUGUUCCUGUCGGGCCUCGAUCUCGCUUACCUGACAGCCGAGCAGAACACCUGGUCCCCUACCUCAAUGAGUUGUCUAAACUCGUGAGCAAGAAGGACCUGGAGGACUUCGACGGCUGCACCUUGGGUGAGCUGGUGGGGGCCAUGCAGCAUAGCGCUUUCCACCUCAGCUGCAUGACCACCUAUUACAAGGCUAAGGUUGGUCGAUACGAUCGGAAAAUGAAGGGGGAUAUUCAAUCGGCGACGACCAGAGCUGACAUUGCCGAGAAGAAAGCAGGGGAGCUGAACCUCGAGAAUCUGAAGCUGAUAGAGCAAGAAUCACUUGCUCAAGCAAAGACCAUUACCCUCGAGGAGGAGCUUACCAAGGUCAAGGAGGAUCUGCAAAGGCAGAAGGCUAUGUAUGAGGCCCAGCUCGAAUCUCUCCGGGACUCCAACCGAGCUCAGGUCGAGAACUUGGAGAGGGAGGCAGAGAAUCAGUACGACCAGGGACUUCGGCAUUCCUAUCGUUGCAUCAUGGCCGUCCUCGGGAAGCAACACCCUGAUCUGAAGAUGGAUGACCUUGCGGCUGGUGUUGCCCAACAUAUGGACGAGGAGGCGGCCAAGGAAGAUGCUGAAGGGGUAGAGCCGAUCGUGAUCGAGGAGGAAAGCUCUCCUCCUCGUGCAGUCCCUGCUGAUGUUGGCGAGGCGAGCACCCCUCCGGACGCAACUGGCGAUACCCCUCCCGCACCUGAGGAGGUCCAGUCAACCGAUGCUGCUCGGCUCACUGAUCUACCAUCUUUUUGAUAUAUUUCUUUUUGUAUUGUAAUAAACAACGUUUAUGAAAUUUAUCCCCUCUGUUAGCCAUUAACACAUUAAUAAAGAUGUUUUUUGAUUACUUUCUCGUCUUGUAAUCAUCACUUAUUUUCCGUUUGGGAAUCUGCUCGUCUCGUCUGGUCGAGCAGGUUCUGGUUUGGCAUAUGGUUUUGCAACAUGCCUUAGAAAAAUUUCUUUUUUUUUUUUUUUUUUUUUUUUUUUUUUUUUUUUUGCUUGGGGAUUCUGCUUGCCUUCGCGUGGUCGAGCAGGUCCUGGCAUGCUUGGCUUCAGUCUCGCCAUAAAAAGGCUUUGAGACUUGGUGAGGCCUUUGCAUGCCUUAGAAAACUUUUUCGAUGCUUGGGGAUUCUGCUCGACUUCGCUCGGUCGAGCAGACCCUAGCAUGCUUGGCUUCCGUCUCGCCAUAAAAAGGCUUUGAGACUUAGUGAGCCU